rnacentral:lncRNA from 1 species
AGAAAUCUUCCACAGUGCGAUAAGCUAGUGGAACGAACAUCGGAGCGUUGGGAUUCAACGAGGAGGAGGUGGUUCUUGUUGAAGAGAGUACUUCCAUUGAUGUGGUGGAAAACAAGAUAAGGAUAACGUAGUGAUGGAGAGAGAGAGUGAAAAGAGUAAAGUGUGUAACCAGUGUUGCUGAAAGGUUGGAUUGUUGAUGCUUAUCUUCGAACCUAUGGGCACUAUUUAUAGGCGUAUUUGAGAUACUUGUAUUCUAGAUAUUAUUACUAGUAGUUGAAAGACGAAAAUACCCUUCUAUCCGUUGGUUUAUUUUAGUAUUAUAUAAAUUUUAUGAUAAUUUAUUAUUUUUAAUUAAUUUUAUUUGUUUUAUUACUUUUUUUAAAAAAUAUUUUUUUUUUGUUUUACGUUUGAAAUUAAUUAAAAAGAAUAUCUUAUUAAAAGAAAAUUUUAAAAUAGACGGAUUAUUUUUAUGUUUUCUACAAUUAAAUAUAUAGAUUUAGAAUUAAAUUUUAAAAAUGAUUGAAUUGGUAAAAGAUUAUUUGUUCGAGAACAUUAGUUAUUUAAGACUAAGGGUAAUGCUAACUUGUGCCUCAAGGCACAAGUUAAGAGAUGAAUAUAGAAACAAAUUCUUGAAAAAUGUGUAUUGAAUUUAUUAGAAAUUUAUCAUUAAUAAUUUUAUUUAUUUUUCCAAAACAAAUUUUUUAUUUGUGGAUUUCUUAACAUGUGUCAUUGGGGCAUAAGUUAGCAUUACCCUUAAAAUUACUUAAAAUUACUUAUCGUAUAGAAUCUCAACACUCUCGUACACUUAAUUUUAAUUAAAUUUGAAACAUAACAUUUAAUUCAUUAAUGUUAUGGUAUGUUAUAUAUAUAUAUAUAUAUAUAUAUAUAUAUAUAUNUAUAUAUAUAUAAAAGUUGUUAGUUAUUUUCUUAUUAUUAAUUAAUUGGAUAUUGUUAUCGAAAUUCUUAUCAAACUAAUCCAUUUUUCAUAUUAAUUUUCAAACUACCUCACUUUUAAGAGGUGUCGCUAAAUGAAUUGACGUUUGCUCUCUAAAUUAAAGAGGUGGUGUCAAUUGGAUUGACUUAUGCAUAUGGUGUUGUCAAUCUAAUUGGCGUCCAUGUGUAAAAAAGGAGAGGAGGUGUCAAUUGGUUCGGCGGCGCCUCUGUGUAUUGCGUAAUUUUUUUUGUAUAAAUAGAGGUGUUGUGUGAUUCAUUUUUUCCAUAUUUCUUUUUAUUAUAUUACAAACAUGGUUCGUCUUCGUCGCUGCUAUAGAAAAGUGGUUUAUUCGAGAGACAAGUCUCCGAUGAAGAUGCUCUUUUGGAACAUCUGUCGUUUCGAGCAACUACAGAGCGAGUUGGUUCUUGGUUAGACGAAAACAUACCUGAAGGCGAAAAAAUAGAAGUAUUGAGAGACUCGAUGCCUUACAUGGACGAGUGUGAGUAAAAAAUGAUAAAGAUGCUAGAGAAGUGAUGUUUGGACCAAAUGAUAUCAGUUUGAUUGUUGUAAUAUGUUAGAAAUGUUGUUUUUAAAUGUUAUGGUUGUUGCGCCAAAAGUCAACUAUUAACCAAAAGUCAAUUGUUGAUCAAAAGUCAAUUGUUGUAUAAAUGGUCAAUUGUGUAGCCUUUGUACAUGUAUGGACUUUGGAUCUGAUUGUAUGAAAUGAUAUUUGAUAUUUGAAUGCAUUGACUGUUUGAAAUGAAUUAUAUGGAUAUGUAAGAUAUUGAAAUGAAUGAACAUGAUAACAUGAAUCAAUGGACAAAAGUUUUGAAUGAAUCAAGACCUAAGGACCAAAAUGGAUAAUGAUUAGGACCUAUCCAACGAUUCAUGGACCAAACACCAAUGAAAAUGGCAUGGAAUAUACUAAGUGAUGAACUUGAUGAAUACCUAAUCAUGGAUCAAUGAUCAUGAUCACAACUUGGAUGAACAAUGCCAAGCAUGAAACAAACUCUAGCAAGGCCCAUAAUGUACAAUGAACUAGAUCAUAAUCAAAGAUUCAUGGACCAAACAACAAUGGCAAUGCAAAUGGCAUGAAUGAUAUUGGCCAUAUGAAAUAGGUUAGGCAUGGACUAGGCAUGAGGAUAUGAUCAGAUGCAAUACUAGGGAUGAACUGAAUCACAUGGAAGUUAUGAUGCCAUGAAAAUGGGCUUGAAUUAAUGAACAUAGACAAGCAAAGAUGAACAUGUAAAGCCAUUAAGUGAAUGCUAAACAGACCAAAGAAACCUCCAUAAUAGACCAUGAACAAGUGGGUCUUGAAUGGAUCUUAACCAGAUAAGUGAAGCAUACACAAUGGAUGAUGCAACAACCAUAUGGCUACCAAACACCACAACAAUUAUUUCAACCUUUCCUUGACGCAUCAUUCACACCAAUGUCUCCCUUCAAUCAUCCUGGUCGCCCUUCAAUAAGUCAAACACGUCCCACUACUCUGGCAUGGGUCACGAACUCAGCUAUGACGGUAGCGCUUUACUGCAGGUGGUGGUGAUGUUCCUGGGCCCUCAAAUCCUCAAACAUAUUGGGUGAAUCAUCAACGUGGGUUACGGUCACGCGUUCGGGUAGCUAGGGGAUGUGGUACAAGAGGUCGGUUAGGUCAUCCCGAUCAAUGACAUUAGUCUUUAUGGUAUUCGUAUGUAAACACAUAUUAAUAUUAAUAUCAAUUGGUCUGAUUUCAACUUUUAUAUAAAUUGUAUAUUGUUUAUUAAAAAAAUUACACAACACACAUAGGUGUCACACCAAUUGGUGCCUCCUUUAAAACCUAACAAAAAGGCGCCAAUUGGAUUGGCAGCACCAUGUGCAUAAGCCAAUCCAAUUGGCGCCACCUCUUUAAUUUGGAGUGCAGACGUCAAUUCAUUUGGUGUCACCUCUUAAAAGUGGGGUAGUUUGGGAAUUAAUCUGAAAAGUGAGUUAUUUUGGGAAUUUUUUUGAAAAAAUGGGUUAGUUGAGUAAAAUUUAAUUGCUAUCACUCGAAGAAAAAUGUAGUUUUAGAACAACUGUCUUUUUAUGGAGAAAAUGAAGCAAAUGUUACUCCUCCGUCCCACAAUAUCUAUUUGCAAUAAAAGAGUAUAUCAAAAUGAAUGAUUUAUUUCAAAUUUUAGUUUUUUUUAAUUUGAUCUUCUAAUUAAUAUUUUAUUACUUUUAUCAUUUCUAAUAUAUGAUAAGGGUAUUUUAGUAAAAAUAUAAUUUUCUCUUUCUUUUUUUAAAAUCUAUGUAGUAUGGAGGAAAUAAUAAAUUAAGUUAAGGAUAAAGAUGAUUUGUGUCUUAAAAGCAUAAAUUAAGAAAUAAAUAAAAAAUAUUAUAUUAGAAAUUAUGCGUUGAUUUUAAUAAAAAUAUAAAAUUAAUAUUUUUAAUUAUUUGUUUAAUAUAAAUUUUUUAUAAGUAGGUUUUUUAACUUGUCCAUCUUAAUACACAAGUUAACAUUACUCUUAAAUUAAAUAUAAAUACUUGAAUUUUAUUGAACAAUUUUUUGUUUUAAAAAGACUGUAUACAUUAUUUUAAAAGUUUUAAAUUCUUUUAAGACACUUCUUAACAUGUAUUUUAUUAUUUCAAUAUUUUGCUAACCAAUGUUUAAAUUGUUAAAAAAAUGUAUAAAAAAAAUUAAAUAUAUGUCAAAUAUGAGUAUUUAUCAAUAUGAUAAAUAUAACAUUUUUUGAUACAUGGUAUUUUUUUUUGGCAUUGUCUUAUUUGUUGUUAGUCAAUCAAUAUUAAAUAAUUUAAAAUUUGAUUAAUAUAAUUUAGUAAGAAAACAUGUGUUCUAACAUAUUUGGUAUCUUAAGUACGAUCCUUGAUUGUAUAGAACACACAUAUUCAUAAUUUUGUUUCCAUUAUUAAUCAAGUAUAGAUGGAUGGUGGUUAUUAAAAAAGAUUUUGAGUUUAACAAUUUAGAUAAAAGCAUGGUCCUGAAAAAAACUUUAUGGCGAAAGUUGAUCAAUAUAAUUGACCCCACUUAGUGGGAUAAGGCUUGAUUGUUAUUGUUGUUGUAUAGAUGGAUGGCGGUAAUGAUUUUUCAAACACACUUACAAUCUUUGAUGGAAAGAAUUAGGAGAGAUGACAAAAAUAAAUGAAGACUUUGUUUGGCUAGCAAGACAUACUCGGAGUAGUUAAAAAAAGAGUUUAAGAACUCUGAGCAAAUGCAACUAAAGCACAUAAGAAUGUUCAUAAGGAAGAGAAGAAGAAAGAUUGCAAAGUUAUAUACUCAAUACAAGCAGUAGUAUAUGCUGCAAAAUUUGACGAAAUUUUUCAUGUUGACAAGGCAAAUGAGGCAUGGGACAUCUUGAUCGAAUAUUAUGAAGGAGGUGACAAAGUGAAAGUUGUUAAGUUGCAAUCUCUAAGAAGAUAGUAUGAAUUGCUACAAAUGGAGAAUAAUGAAAAUAUUGAAACCUAUGCAGCAAAGAUUCAAGGCUUGGUUCACAUGAUAAAAAGUUAUAGUGAAUUCAUGAAAACUGCUGAUAGAAAAGGUCAAGUUAUUGAUAGUGGAAAUCCCAAGAGGAAACUAUUUAGUACUGGAGUGAGUCAUGUAAUUUAAGGUCAAACUAGGAUAAUCUCUGGUGUGUUCUCUCUAACUUUUUUUUUAUUUCGCAACUUAAUCUCAGCUUCUACCCUCUUCUUAAAAUCAACCAAGUCAAUAUAAAUCGAUUUUCUAAAAAGUUUUUAAAAUACAAAUAUCACAAAAUCACUCAUCCUUCUCUUGUGUUUGGAGUCACUUAUUCAAUACAAGAGCCAGUUUAAGAUCUGCAGACUCCAACUUCCAAUCAGAAUGGUGGUUCUGAUAGGCAUAAAGGUAAGAAGACUCUAGAUAAAUUCAAGAAGUAUACAUACUCAAUCUCCCAAAAUACUAAGCUUUAUGGUAAACCUAAAUCCUUCACGAAAGGAGUGUUGAAGUAGUUAAGUAAAACACAAGAGAAUGGGGUGAAUUGUGUUUAAAACGGUUUAUGUUAGUUCAACAGAGAAGAAGAAGAAGAAGAAGAAGAAGAAGAAGAAGAAGAAGAAGAAAGUAAAUGACAUAAAUUAAAGUGAAAGAGUUAGAGAGAGUGCACCACAAAUUUAUAUAGGUUCAACCUACCACUUGUCCUACUCUUAUCCCUAAUAUUUUACUCUUGAGAGUUCCAUUAAUAUUGAGACUUGAGAUUUUAAGGAUAUGCCCACGAAUAUUUUACAACAAUGAGAAAAUUAUUUUAACGAUCAGAUAUCGCUUUCACACUGUCGUACUCAAAUCAAUAUCUAAAUAUUUUUUGCUUUCGCGCAAAAAAUUUAACUUUUUGAAACACAAUUCAGAACCAGAAAAUUGUUUUAUUAUAAAAAUUCAAUGUCAUAAUUUUAUCAAGUCUCGUUGGAAUGACGAUCCUCACAUUCUGAGCUCUAUGAACUUAGUCGGACAUAUCUAACUAAUUAAUUAAUUAAUUUCUAAAUGAAAUCUAAUUAGCCUUUUAACUUUAUUUGAUCACUUAAUUGCUUAAGGCACUUAAUUUGAUAAAAUAGCUAAUGUAAUAUAUUAGUAUGAAUGUUAGUAUGAAUGUUGCAGCAAUUCAACAUAUAAAUUAGUAAUGGCAAUAAAAUAAAGAUACAAAAAUUAGACGUACUGAAUGUAAACAACUGCAAAACCUGAUACUGCAAAACUUCUGAAAUAAAUUCUAAAAAUAUUCUGGCAGGAUUACAAUACGAAUGAUCCAAAUCUCUCCAGCGAAACUUCUGAUUUUAACUCUAAAGUGCAGCAAUUCAUUAGUGUGAGAAAUAACUUCUUUACAAAGUACUUUUCUGCCUAACAAUUACUCUAGAGUAACUUGGAUCAUGAAAAGCUGAAAACUCAACCUAUUUAUAGAGCUAAAACUGGUGUUAAGAGUGCUGAAAAAUCGUGUUGGAGGAGUGAGAGAAAUAUCUGUUGAAGUGGGAGAAGAAUGAGUUCAAUUAGUUGUUAUUUUUCUGGGCACGAAGUUCAUGGCGAACGCCAUGGCCUCUUGGCAAAUGCCAUGAGUACAAAGGUUGCAGAACAUGGCUUUCAAGUCCAUGGAGAACGUCAUGAGUUCAAAAUUGUUGUUCCUUGAUUGGUAUUUUUUAUUAGGCGGCACCAAUGGCUGCCACGUUAUGGCAACCACCAUGGUGAGCACCAUGAGUGCAUAAUCUUGGUAUUUACGCCGUCUUCGUCCCAUUUUCUCACACGGAUACUCCUACUAGGGAAAUACUUGAAACAAACACAAUAUACCAGCAUAACACAAUAAAAAGGAGACAAAAUCAGGUAAAAUGUCAUGUGCGUCGAGUCAAAAACGUGAUGUGUUUCGUGGUUAUCAAAUUCCCUCAUACUUGAACCCUUGCUUGUCCUCAAGUAAGUUGCUAGCAUAUAUGAUUUUUUUUUGUAAAUGCAGCAUUUUAGUAUGAAGACUUAAAGAAACCAUAGCAUUCAAAUACUCGUACAUGGCCACAAAAUCCAUUUCGGUCAAAAUUGACUUUAUAGGUACAAAUUGUUCACCAAGGAUAUCGUGAAAACACACUUCUGCAUUUUACGGUCAAAAGUCUCCCUCCUAUGCAAACUAAUAUGUAUCAUGCCGUUAUGCAUAAACCUAACUCGCUCGUCCCUUUUUCAUUCUAACACAAUCAUAUUAAGCUCGUUAUCCUUUCACGCUCAUAGUAUGAAAAUAUGUUAGUGACUAUGAUCUGGUUUUAUCAAUUUGUGCACUUUGGAUUUAUUCAUUAAUAAAUAAAAGGAUAAGUUAUCAUUGGGCUAAAUGAUCGGGUGAGAGUGACCUAACUUAUAAGGAACAUUCCCUUUUUAUUCAUUUACCUUUUAAGGUCAUGAUCAUUCACUUAUUUGCAUCAAAUUCCCUACGUAGUGUAUGCUUUAAGAUGGUGUUGACUACUUAGAUAAACUACUCAAGGAUUAUUAGAACACAAGAACUCAAGGUUCAGGCAUAAGAGAUAUUCAAAUUGAUCUCCAUAUUUGGGAGGCUUGAGGUGUUGGGACGAUAUCGAUUUUGCAACAAUUUUCCCAUGUCUCCUCAAUCUAGCCUCUAUUUCAUUUGCAGCCUAUAUACUUUCUAAUCAUGCUACCGAUUUCAAGUUUUAUCGACAGGGCUCAAGAAACUGGGAGAUUCGAUAAACAAUAAGAAACCAUGCAUAAAGACUCGACAUCACAUGAAUUGACUCAAAUAACAACUCAAAUAAAAAUUAAACUAAUAAGCGGUAAAAAUCCUAAUUAACAUGAAUAAACUAGAAAACGGUAAAUCUAACUAGAAAACAAUAAAAGGAAAAAAAUAAAGUUCUUCCCCCACACUUUAACCGAAAAUUGUCCUCAAUGUUUCAAUAAAAGUGGGAAAAGGAAAAGAAUAACUUGGAUAAUGGAGAUCAAUGUCGACCAUGGGAACACAACGACAGUAGAUACCGGUGGCUCCUCUUUUGAAAAGGAAGGGUUCAUCCCAAUAGAAUUUUUUCUGAUCAUGGAAGAAUUUCUUCUUCUGUUGGUAAUUCAUAUUUGGAGGUAGGACUCCGACUGUUAGGUAGUUUACAAAGUCAGUAUGUCAUGGAAUUUUAGUUUGUGCUAGGGAAACUUCUUCUUCUAUUUCAUUUUUAAUAAUGGAGCUACCUUUAUAAAAAUAAUAAUUGAAGUGAGCAUAACUAGGUUCUUCGGUUCCAAGUAACACGACUAUUAUAUCAUAUGGAAAAUCGUCAUUAAUGGGCACAUGUUCAGGUUUAAUAUUAUCUAGUCUAGACAGGUGAUCAGCUACCACGUUUUCGAUUUCCCUUUUGUCUCGUAUUUCUAAGUCAAAUUCCCGCAACAGUAGGAUCCAUCGAAGUACCUUGGAUUUGCAUCUUUCUUGCUUAAUAGAUACCUUAUAGUUGUAUGAUUUGUGUAGAUAAUGAUUUUAGCUCUUACUAAGUAAGAACGAAACUUAUAAAUUGCGAAUACUACAACUAGGAGCUCUUUUUCAGUCGUGGCAUAAUUUGUUUGAGCUUCAUCUAGGGACCUUAUUGCAUAAUAGAUGAUACACAAUUUUUUAUCUUUUCGUUGUCCUAAGACAAUGCCUACUGCAUAAUCACUUACGUCGCACAUGGUCUCGAAUGGCUGACUCCAAUCGGGAGGUUGCAUAAUAGGUGCGGAGAUCAGGGCAUGUUUAAGGAGUUGAAAUGAUUCAGUGCAUUUUUUAUCACAAAUAAACUCAAAUUCCUUCAUCAAGAUACUGGUUAGGGAUUUUGUGUUUUUAGAGAAAUCCUUAGUAAAACGUCGAUAGAAACCAGCACGUCCUAGAAAACUCUGGACUUCUAUGACAGUCUUAGGUGGUUGGAGGUUCUCAAUAACCUCAAUCUUAGCUUUAUCAAUCUUAAUUCCCCUUUCAGACACUAUAUGUCAUAGGACUACGCCCUAUUUUACCAUGAAGUGACAUUUCUCCCAAUUAAGCAUUAAGUUGACUUUCACACACCUCUCUAGUACCUUCUCUAAAUUAGCAAGGCACCCUUCGAAACUCGAUCCGCAUACGAAAAAGUCAUUCAUGAAUACUUCCAUGAUAUCAUAUAAGAAGUCUGCGAAUAUUACCAUCAUACAUCUUUGGAAAGUUGCAGAUGCAUUAUGUAACACCCCAGAUUGCUAUUAGGAUUAUCGACUGACCCCAGAAACCAACACUAGUUUUUUUAGCAUGUUUUAUCCUCACUCACACGCUUUCCAGGAAACUUCCCAGAAGGUCACCCAUCCAAAUACUACUCCAAGUUAAGCACACUUAACUAUGGAGUUUUUAUCUAUUUGGCUACCGAAAAGAAGAUGCAUCUUGUUGGUAUAGGUAGUACCAAUUAAUCCUUAUAAGUCAUCCUUCAACCAUGCAGUCUCAUACCUGCACGACCUCAGGAUCCCUCUCAUUCCGAUGUGAAUUCGGUUUUUUCCCUAGAAGCUACUAGGAGUGUCUCAUUGUCAUGCCUCGUGCACCUACAACCACUCCCUCGCCCUCGGGUGUAACAUGUAACCACUUUUUGGCCUCUCUGGCGUUACAUGCCCACCAGCGUUACAUGCCCACCAGCUUCCGCUUGGUUCGUCCCCGAACCACAUCGUACUGGGAGAGGUAUGGCUCUGGUACCAUUUAUAACACCCCAAAUUGCUUUUUAGGGUUACCGAGUGACCCCACAAACCAACACUAGUCUUUUCAGCAUGUUUUGUCCUCGCUCACACGCUUUCCAGGAAACUUCCCAGAAGGUCACCCAUCCAAAUACUACUCCAAGUCAAGCAUGCUUAACUAUGGAGUUCUUAUCUGUUUGACUACCGAAAAGAAGAUGCAUCUUGUUGGUAUAGGUAGUACCAAUUAAUCCUUAUAAGUCAUCCUUCAACCAUGCAGUCUCAUACCUGCACGGCCUCAGAAUCCCUCUCAUUCCGAUGUGAAUUUGGUUUUUCCCUAAAAGAUACUAGGAGUGUCUCAUUGUCAUGCCUCGUGCACCGACAACCACUCCCUCUCCCUCAGGUGUAACAUGUAACCAGUCUUUGGCCUCUCUGGCGUUAUAUGCCCACCACCUUUCGCUUGGUUCGUUCCCGAACCACAUCGUACUGGGAGAGGUAUGGCUCUGAUACAAUUUGUAACACCCCAGAUUGCUUUUAGGAUUAUCGACUGACCCCACAAACCAACACUAGUCUUUUCAGCAUGUUUUGUCCUCACUCACACGCUUUCCAGGAAACUUCCUAGAAGGUCACCCAUCCAAAUACUACUCCAAGUCAAGCACGCUUAACUAUGGAAUUCUUAUCUGUUUGGCUACCGAAAACAAGAUGCAUCUUCUUUUCGGUAGCCUAACAGAUAAGGAAGAGGGAAAUGGUCUUUUCGGGUGGCUUUGUUUAAUUCUUUAUAGUCAAUACACAUUCGCCACCCAGUCUCUACACACUUAGAUACAAAUUCAUCUUUUUCAUUCUUAACUAUUGUUAUUCCUCCUUUAUUUGGUACUACAUGUACUGGACUGGCCCAUUGACUAUCUGAUAUCAAAUAAAGUAUUCUAGCUUCAAGCAACUCUAACACUUCCUUUCUAACUACCUCGUUCAUAAUAGGGUUAAUCCUCCUAUGAUGUUCUCUAGAGGCUUUAGAGCCCUCUUCUAGCAUAAUUUUGUGCAUGCAUAUAGAGAGGCUAAUUCCUUUUAGAUCAAAGAUGUUAUGGCCUAAAGUUGAAGGGUAUUUCCUUAACACAACCAAAAGUUUCUCAGUUUUGUCUCUAUCAAGAUCAACAUUAACUAUUAUUGGACGAUCAAGUUGCUCGUCUAGAAAGUCAUAUCUCAGAUUUUUGGGAAGUUCCUUAAGUUCUACUGUUGGUUGCUUAGGUCUAGUCAUAAGAUUAGGAGUAAGUGAAAGAUAUUCUCUUAGGCUAUCCUCUACAUAUGGGAGAUAGUAUUCAACCUCAUCUUCUUCUACCAUGGCGGUGUCUGGAAGUUUGACCAACUCUGUAGUUGGUGGUGUUUCUGAUGCUAGCUCUUUUAUGCACUCAUCAAUAAUGUCUAUAAAACAACAGGUAUCAUCAAUAGUUGGAGCAUCUAGAAAUUGGGAAAGAAUAAACUUUAUUUUCUCCUCACCAAAUUCAAAGGUUAGUUUCCCUCGUUUCACAUCUAUGAUCGCACUGACUGUGGCUAAGAAGGGUCUUCCUAAGAAGAUGGGGAUGUUGGAGUCUUCCUUUAUAUCCAUCGCUAUAAAGUCUGUAGGAAUGUAAAAGUGGCCAAUACGCACUGGAAUAUUUUCCAACAUACCUAUUGGGUGCUUAACAGAGCGAUCGGCUAACUGGAGGGACAUCCUUGUAGAUCUUAAGUUUCCUAAGUUUAGCUUCUCACAGAUCGAGAUGGGCAUUAAGCUAACACUAGCUCCCAAAUCACAAAGUUCCUUGUCGAUGAUAAACUUGCCAAUUACACAUGGAAUAUAAAAACUACUUGGGUCUUUCAACUUUGGUGGCAUAUUGAUUUGGAUAAUGGCACUACACUCUACAGUGAGUGCCACUGUCUCGUCAUCUUCAAGUUUCUUCUUGUUUGAUAAGAUCUCUUUGAUAAACUUAUAGUAUGAGGGAAUUUGUGUAAUGGCCUUCGUGAAAGGUAUAGUAAUGUGAAGUUGCUUUAGUAGCUUGAUGAAUUUUUUAAACUAACCCUCAUGCUUAGAUUUUGCAAGUCUUUAAGGGUAUAAUAUAGGUGGCUUAUAAUGUAGUGGAGGUACAUAUGGCUUUUCUUUCUCGAAAGUUUCUUUGUUUAUGGUCAUCUCUUCAUUAUCAUAUAUUGGUGUUCUUACUUGGCGCUUAUCAGUCGCUUUCUCUGGUUCCUUCUUAACUCUCUUAUACAUCGUUUGAUCUAUAACUCCAGGAUCAACGAGUUUAUCUAAUUUCGUCCCACUUUGCAGUGUGAUGACGUUAGCAUGGACUUUCGGAUUGGGUUGAGGUUAUCCUAUAAAUGUGACAUUAGGAGAAGCAGUAACCUCUUGUUAUUGAUCUAUAAAUGGCGUCAACCUUGUUUUCCGAUUCUUUCACCAACUCGUUUGUGUGAAGAUUUUGAUUCAUGAAUUCUUUAUUUUGCUGGGUCUAGGUUGUGAUGAAGUUUUCCAUAAUUAAUUCCAAAUUUUACUUUCUAGGAGCGGAAGGAGCAACCGGGGCUCAUUUUUGUAAACCUAGAGGAGUUGUUGGUGGUGGACUGGAAGCAAAUAAUGUGUUGUUGUUCUUGUAGGAAAAGUUUGGAUGAUUUCUCCAUCCAGGGUUAUAGGAGUUCGAGUAAGGAUUUCCAUGUGCAUAGUUAACUUGGUCAGGUGGACUUCCUGUCAAAAGCUUACAAUCUGUAGUGACAUUCCCUUGGACUCUACAGAUAUUGCAGUUUGGAGUUACAACAGCUACGGUAGUUGGAUGGGUAAUAAUUAAGUUGUUGAUCUUUCGAGUAAGUGCAUCGACCUUAACACUUACAUGAUCUAAGCCAUUAAGUUCGAACAUGACUCUCUUUUGUUGUGUUUUCUCUACUUGAUCACGUUCGGUCCCCUAUUGAUAAUGGUUAUGGGCUAUGUUUUUUAGAGAACUGGUUCUGUUGCACUAUUUGCACCAAAGAAGGUUUCAAUUCGAAAGUGUUUGCCUGGAUUGCAGGUGAAACAAUGCUUGAGUGUGGCUCGUCCUCGGAUGGAACAACGUAAUCCUUAAGAGGACGAUUAUUGGGUUCAACCACAGGGAUGAAUAUGGCUCUAAGUUCUUGUAAUCGGGGUUUGAUGAAGGAAACACUCGAUUUUGUUAAUAGGUUGUUCUAACUCGUCUCCAUUUAAGCAAGGGUUGGGCAUACAACCGAGAGAAAAGGAAAAUAAGAUCGCAUUAGUUUAUGUAGUGCUACAACAGAAUCACAAUAUUGAUUGUUGGUCCCCGACAACGACACCAACAAUUUUGUAAGUAUCCCGCAAGUGCAUUGAAAAAUCAGUUAUAAUAUAAAAAACAUUGAACUCGCAGAGAUCAAUGUCAACCUACCAUUAUCUAUUGUCGCUUUGUAAAUCUAAGGCUAUCGGUCAAAGUUUUGUUUGAAAAUGAAUUAAAAUAAAUGGUUUAUGAAUUAAUAGAAACGGAGACCAGAAUGUAAUUUUAGAGUACCUUUGGGACUCAGAUAAAAUUCAGCACUUCACUUUGUUUUAAAAAUCACUUUCAGAAGAAUUAUUAAUUUAAAAAUACUGAUCAUUUUUGCACAUCCCGUAUUGAAUUUAGGAACCAUAAUUGCCUGCUGUCGCACGUUACAAGUUACAAUUCUGAAAACUUUUUUGAAAAUCAACCGUCCUUAAUUAAAUAAUAAAGCAAUUUUGUUGUUUUUAAAAAUUAAAAAUUCGAACUUUAACGAUAGGAUACCGCUUUCACACUAUCGCGCUGAAAUCAGUAUCUAAAUAUUGUUCACUUUCACGCAAAAAAUUUAACUUUUUGAAACAAAAUUCAGAACCAAAAAAUUAUUUUAUUAUAAAAGUUCACUGCUAAUAAUUUUAUCGAGUCUCAUCAGAACGAUGAUCCUCACAUCCCAGACUCUAAAAACUUAGUCAAACAUAUCUAAUUUGAUUAAACUCAUGUAGUUAUUCUGCAUAACAAUUAAACUAGACAUGAACAAUGAUUUAAUAAUAAAAAUGUGAUGUUGAUGGUAACUAUAUAUAUAACGAUCCUCACAUCCCGGACUCUAAGAGCUUAGUCAAACAUAUCUAAUUUGAUUAAACUCUUAUUCUACAUAACAAUUAAACUAGACAUGAACAAUGAUUUAAUAAUAAAAAUAUGAUGCUAAUGGUUAAAAUAUAUAUAUAUAUAUAUAAUAUAUAUAUAUAUAUAUAUAUAUAUAUAUAUAUAUUAUAUAUAUAUAUAUAUAUAUAUAAUAUAUAUAAUUAUAUAUAUUAUAUAUAUAUAUAUAUAUAUAUAUAUAUAUUUGUGUGUGAGUGUGUGUGAACGUGAAUCAGCAGUGAAUAUUAGUAUGAGUGCAUCAGCAAUCUAACAUAUAAAAUAGUAAUAGCAGUAAAGUUAAGGGACAAAAAUUAAACGUGCUGAAAGUAAAUAACUGCAAAAUCUAAUACUGCAAGAAUUUUGAAAUAAAUUCUAAGAAAAAUAUUCCGGCAGGGUUACAAUACGAACGAUUCAAAUUUCUUCGGUGAAACUUCUGAUUCUAACUCUAAAGUGAAUCCAUUCCUCAGUGUGAAAAAUAGUUGCUUUACAAAAUUACUUUUCUGCCUAACAGUUACUCUAGAAAAACAUGGAUCAUGAAAAGCUGAAAACUCAACCUAUUUAUAGAGCUAAAACCAAUGUCAAGAGUGUUGAAAUCGUGUUGGAAGAGUGGGAGAAAAACUGUUGAAGUGGGAGAAAAUUGAGUCCAAUUAGUUGUUAUCUUUUUGGGCACGAAGUUCAUGGCAGACGCCAUGGCCUCAUGAUGAAUGUCGUGAUUAUAAAUGUUGUGGAACAUGGAUUUAGGUCUAUGGCAAAUGUCAUGGCUUCAUGGAGAAUGCCAUGAGUUCAAAAUUGAUGUUCCCACAUUCGUCUUGUUUACUUGGUGGGGCACAUGGCUCCCACGUCAUAGCAAGGGCCAUGGUGAAUGCCAUGAGUUCAGAAUCUUUGUAUUUUCUUCAUUUUACGUCAUUUUUGUCUCGUUUUCUCGCACAAAUGCUCAUAUCUGGAAAAUACCUUAAACAAAUAUAAUAUACUAGCAUAACACAAUAAAAAGGAGACAAAAUAAGCUAAAAUGUCAUGUGCAUCGAUUCAGAAAUGUGAUGUGUUUAGUGGUUACCAGGCUGUUGACAAAGAAGGGAGUUGUUCAAUCAACGUUUUACUAUGCCAAUCACUCGGACAAGAAAUCGGUGGGAUCAAGUUGGAUUUCCAUAUACGAAGACUUGGAGAAGAAUUAUUGUGGAUAGUAAGGUUAUUGGAUCAUGAUAUUUAGGGAUCUUAUUUUUGUUAGCAAUUGGAGUGUCUGCAUCAAUAGAGGGAAUUAUUGUGUGAUGUUUCAUUGAAAUUAAAAUGAUUGUAUUAAACUUUUCAAAAUAGUGGAAUAUCAUGAUUACUUUUUUAUGGUUCUUUAAUACCAUUGGAGAGUGGAGUAGGAAAAGCGAGGACGAACGUCAAACCACUAUAUAUCUUCGUGUAUCUUUUCCUUAUUCCCUUACCUCUUUUAAUUUUCCAACAUUCAUUUAAUAUUGUUAUUGCAUUAGUGCAUUAUUGCAUUGAUUGUAUGUCAUUUAGGUUAUAUUGUUCUCAUAAAGAUUUAAUGUGUAAUCUUAGGUAUGUGAUGCAUCAAUCUUGUUGGAUCAUCAUAAGUUCAAUCAUGUCUUGAAUGAACAACUAUUUAAAGUAUUUUUAAAUCUCUUUGUUUUAAAGCGGCUUUGGUUAUCUUGUAACUGAUUUUAAUUAGAAUUAAUCAAGUCCUUAGUAAUAUCUUAUAAUAUCUCAAUUGGUUUAAUUUAUUGAGAUGAUUCCAAGCUCUCUUAGUGUUGUGUUUUGCAUCCACGUUUCUUAAAAUAUUUGAUUUUUUAUGGGGCCUAAAAUAUUUUUUAAAUUGUCUUUUUGGGGAUAGGUCUAUUCAACCCUCCUUCUAGAACUCUUUGUGUCCAUAUUCUCACCCAAUAAUUGGUAUAAAAGUGGGGCUUUUGAUCAAAGUCUUGCGACUCCAAAAGUGGAGGAUAUGGUUCCAUCGAUCCUAUAAGAGUUUUUCUAUCAGUUUAAAAAGUUUAUGCAAUUUAAUAAAUUCCAAUUAUUUUACAAUGAUUUCCUAAUUUAUGAUCAUUCAUUGCAUGCAAUACAUAGAAUAACUUAAAGUAAAGCCUUACUAGUUAUUCUUCAAACAUUAAUUGUAUUUAAGAUAUUCUCUAAGCUUUUAUUCAUCCAUGAAUGAACUGACAAUAUUUUGAGGUAUGUUCAGUGUAACCAGAAACCUGACACUAUGUCUUAAAAUUUGUUUUUAAUUGAUCCUAAUUAAAGAUGGACAUGCAUUCACACAAUCACAUGCUUGAAGUUUUUGAGAAAUAGAAGAAAGAAAUAAAAAGUAUCUUCAAGUGGAAUGUUCUUCCAAGGUUAUCGUAAAAAGAAGAUGAAGACAUUUUAUGACUAUUGGCAAUGUUCUCUGAAGUUUCAACAAUCACAAAAUAUUCAAGAGUAGAAAUGUGUUCCUUGAAGUUCUAAUAAUGAUCAAAGAGAUGAAUCAAUUAUUUAAGAUUGAUAAGAUAUGUCAAUCAAUGAUAAUCAUAUCAUCUAUCGUUCAUGUUCAUUCGAAGCCUUAUGAAGCAGAGUCUGGUAUUAUUCUUCAAAAGUGAAAUAGGAUUUGUAUCCGAUUAAGUAAUAUGAUUGAUAAUAUUUUACCUUAUGAUAUUCUUGUUGUUGAUUACUGAUUGUUUUUAUAUGCAGCAAGUUGAGCCUGGAUUGUCUAAAUUGGUAUGAUUGUUUCAACCCUCCUUUAUUUCUUGUAUGUAUACAUAUGAUAAUUAUUUGCGUGCUAGAUGUGUUAUAUGUUUGAAAUGUGUAUGUGUAUGUGAUAUGUUUGUGCAUCUCAUGCCUUAAUCAUUCAACCAUUCAAUGCAUAGGUUUAAAUUUUAUUUCGUCUGUUCAUUGCAUCUAUAUGCAUCUUUCAUCCAUUCAUGCAUCACCAUUUAUCUGUUUAAUUAAAAUCAUUUUUGAAUUCACAUUAAAAAUUAUUUAUCAUUAACAUCAUCAUUUAAAUUUUAAUUUCAUUAAAAAAAAUUCAUGCAUUAACUUUUUCUUUAAAAGUUUUUCAUUAAUUUUUUUUUAAAAUUUGACUGCUUUAUUCGAAUCACUUUUUAAACCUGAUUCGAAUCAGAAGUCUAGGUGUUGGUGAGUUUUGGGGAUGUGUAAAUUGAUUCGAGUCAGACAUUAUAUUUUAUUCAAAUCAAAGUUCUUUUUUCUCAAAAUAAAAAACUAGUGAUUAGAAUCACAUUUAACACUUGAUUCGAAUCUUAGACCUAAAAGUCACGCUACUUUUUUUUUUAAAAAUUGUUCAAAUUUUUAAAUUCAUUUCAUUUCAACUCCAUUUCAAAAACCUUCCAUUCCUCUCGAAACCAAUGUUCAUGAAAAACCUCUGCAUUCAUGAAUCAUCAACACAUUUAUCAUCAAUCAUCAUCUCUCUUCAUCACAUUCAUCAUCAAAACUCAUUAGCCUCCACCAUCAUGUCUUCAAGCUUUCCCAUAAAAGGAUUUGUCAAAAAAGUAAAAGGGCAAGAGACAAGUUUCAUCAUCAAGCCAUUCUCAUCCACAUAUUCUAAAUAAGCCAAGAAGCAAAGUUCAAACAAGCAAAGAAACUUUUAAUGCCAAAAUAGGAGUAAAUAUACAAGUAUUUAAGCAUCUGAAACAUGACAGUUAUUAUCUUGCUUAAAUUCUGAAGAAUUAUAUAUGUGCUUUAAAUGUUUAAAUUUAAUUAGCCUGGAUAUGACUUGGGAGGAUCACACAAACAUAACCCUAUAGACUGUUAGACUCAGGGGGAGCUUACAAACCUCAGACCUUAAAGUCAACUAGUUAAUUAAAUUAUCAACCAUUGUUCUUAAAUAAUUAUGUUUGUCAUUAUAAAAAACGGGGAGAUUGCUGGAAUAAAAUUGGGUUGUCCCACGUCCCUUAAGUUUUGAUGAUAACAAAGUAUUUUUUAAAAAAUUGGGCAUACUAAUGUAUGUUCAAGUGUGUAGGACCAUAGACUUAAAUUUCAUAUAGAAUCCAAGUAUUGAUUCUGACUAUGAACAUUCAAUUAGGAACUUGAAGAUCAAAAUCGGAUUGAUCAAAAGUUGCAGAGCAGACUCUAAAUAAGUCAUCUUCUAAAGAGAUCAACGUCUGAAGGUCAGAUCUGAAGGAGUCAGCCUCUGAAGACCAGACUUUGGAGAAGUCUACUUCUGGUGAUCAAAACCUGAGUCAACCAAAGCGUAAGGACCAAGGUAACACUGAUAAGUCACUGUUUAUCUCUGAACAUACUUUGUCACAUGAAAAUCUAAGCUCUAUUUUUUUCAUAUAGUAUGUUGGGACACAACUGCUAAUUCCUUUUGUAACAAAGGGGUUUCAAACUAGCAUUCACCUAACCUAACAGUUUGGUGAAACAUUCCAACAUUUCUUUUGAAGCUUCUCAAAGGUCUCUAUUGUUCUGCAUCUUUAACGACUCUUUUUAUUCUCUAUUUAAGGAGCUAAAAAACUUGAGAAAAAUAUGGGCAAUGAACACCAAUUGACAUCAAAAGAGAAGUUACUCUGUCAAAACAAAGCACAAGCAAAACUUAUGAUUUCCUAUUCUUCUAUAUCUUAGAAAUUCUUAAGUCUUAAAAGAGUUUAUUUGUUGUGUAUUUUUUAUACAUCUCUGGUUGUAUAUCAAGUGUAUUUUCCCAACAAUUAUUUAUCAGCUAAGUAGAUUAUAAGAAGUCUCUUACUAAGUGUUUGAGCAUUGGAAGUCUCUUGCUUGUGUGCUUAAGCAAAUAAGUAUCUUGCUUGUGUGCUUGAGCAAAUGAAGUCUCUUACUUUAGUGCUUGAGAAAAUGAAGUCUCUUGUUUGUAUACUUGAGCAUAAAAGUCUCUUACUUGUGUGUUUGAGAAAAGGAAAUCUCUUGCUUUUAUGCUUGAGCAAAUUGUAAUCUUGUGUGAUUAUAGUGAAAAUCUCUUGUAAGUACAAGGGGACUGAACUACUCUCAAGUUGUAAUAGAAUCUAGGAUAACUCUGUGUUGUUCUUCUUUCUUGUAUUUCAUAUCCACUUCCUACCCCUAACUAAAUCAAAUUCUAUAACCUUGUAUUUAGAAUCUAACUUAAGAGUUUAAAAAGAAAGAAAUAGAAAACACAAUUCAAUUAUGUUUUUCUCACCCUUACACACAAAGUACAAUAUAAAGAGCACCAUGUCAUAGUUGGUCACUAUCAUACCCCAAUUUUUCUGGGCAUUUUAAAUUCAUCUAAUACAAGUCCAUUUGUCCAAUUUUACAUUUUUAGCCAUCUGCAUUUUUAUCAUCAAAUAAAGUCACCAUAAUUAUUCAUAUAUGUAUAUAUAGUAAAAAAGUCAACAUAAAGUCAAUAUUUUACAUGUUGAAGAAAUUGAUUAAAAUUACAUUUUUUUAUUGUGCAUUUUGAAAAAUAAAUUCAAGAUUAUUUGAUUUAUCAUCAAAAUAUUCAUUUGAAUUUUAUUAAUCAUUUUCACGCAUCAUAAAAAAAAUCAAUGUUUCUAGAAAAUCCAAAAUGUCUCUCAUUUAUUACAUCAUUAUUCCAUGCAUAUAUUACAUAAUUAUUUCAUGUAUAUAUUAAAUCAUUAUUCACUAUUUAAUUAAAUAAGUUUCUAGAAGACACUCACACUCUUUGCAUAAUUCAUAAACUACCCUUUUUAGAGCCUAUAAAUAAAAUCAUUCUCAUUCACAAAUCUUACCAUCAAUCAUUCACAAAAACUAAGCUAAAACUCUCUUCAUUUUUAUUUUCAUUUUCUUUCAAGUCAUUUCUUUCUUUUUAUUAAAUAGGUAGGCUCUUAUGCUUGCUCUUUAUUUAAUUCUGUUGCAUUUUUACUGUUGUUUUAUUUAUUUAGUAUCUUAAUCGUCACCAUUUUAUAUGAAAACUCAAUUGAUUUUAAAUCAAGAGUUGAAAAGUGUUCUUGAACCUCCAUAAGCAAAAGUGAUUUGUUGUUGUUUUAAAUAGAUCUUAUGUUUGUUCUUUAUUUAAUUCUAUUGUAUUUUUACUUUUGCUUUAUUUAUUUAGUACCUUAAUCAUCACCAUUUUGUAUGGAAACUCAAUUGAUUUCAAAAUCAAGAGUUGAAAAGUGUUCUUGAACCUCCAUAAGCAAAAGUGAUUUGUUGUUGUAUAUUGAAUCUUAUGCUUGUUCUUUAUUUAAUUCUAUUGUAUUUUUACUUUGGCUUUAUUUAUUUAGUACCUUAAUAAUCACCAUUUUGUAUGAAAACUCAAUUGAUUUCAAAAUCAAGAGAUUAAAGUAUUCUUGAACCUCCAUAAACAAAAAUAGUCAAAUGUAAAUUUAUGUUUGUUUUGUAUAAAUAAUGUAUCCAAUAACUUUCCAACAUCACUCUGAGCAUGAAUCUAUAGUUCGUUUGUCAUGAGGGUGUAUAAAAAUGACAAAUCAAGCAAAUAUAUGUUGCUGCAUUUUGUUGAUUUUCGAUUUUUUAGUUGUUUAUUUUCUGAUUUUAUAUAUACCAUUAUGUUUGUGAGAUCGAGUAGAUAGAUCUUAAUUAUUUAUUUGCUUAAUUCUGUGAAAAAUUGAGAAAAUUAUGGUGUGUUUACGUUUUUGUUGGAACCAUUUUUCUUUCAUUUUUGUUGUUACGGGAAUAGUAAUCAAAUAUGGGGUUGGGGAAGAUGUAGUCUUCCCACACCCCUUGAUUGCUCAGCACACCCCUAUAGGCCCCCAUCCUUUGGACCUAGAGUAUUUUUCUAGCUACACCCUCAAUUUUCAAUUUGUUUUUUUCUUUUGUAUAUUUGUUUUAUUUAUUAUUUUCUUAUUAUUGCUUUAUCUAUUUAUUUUUGUUCUUUCUUUUAUUUCCUUUGGUUUUUUUUAAUUCUUUUACCUUUUGUGUUGAUAGUGUGUCCCAUCCCUUUUAUUAUUUUUAUUACCUUUUUUAUUGCUUUAUUUUUUAGUUUAUUUUCUUGUAUUUUUAGUUGAUUCAUAAUUGUUAAUUCAAAAAGAUAAAAUGUCUAUUAAAAUUUACAUUUCAAAAAUACUAAAAUCAAAUGUGCUUGAUCAACAUCAAGUACAUUUCUCAAAAUCAUUUCCAAAUCCCUUUUUGUUUUAAAAUCAAAUUCAAAACCUCGAUUCAACGUCGAGUAUUUUAUUAAAUCAAAACUAAAACACUUUAAUUAUACUUGAACGUUAUUUAGAAAUGAAAAGGGGGAAUGGUUUCGAGCCUUUGACUCCUCUCCUCAAUUGUUUCAGUACGAGUUAUCUUUCUCGAUUAGUCAAACAAUGGUCAUUUCUCUUAAAAACUUCUAAACCAAUUAAAUAAAAUUAUUUUCAUAAUAAACUAAACGAAAACAGAGAUGGUCUAGAGCCUUCGAUUCCUCUCCUCAAAUACUUGGAUACGAGUUGCCCUACUCGAUUAUUCGAGUAUUCAUCAUUUAUCUAAAAAAUAUCAACCAUACAUAAACCCAUUUUUCUAACAAAUUAGAUGAAAAAGAGGAUGGUAUCGAGCUUUCAUUUCCUCCUCCUGAAUACUUGAAUACGAGUUGCCUUACUCGACCAUUGGAAUAUUCGUCAUCCAUUUAAAACACCUUAAUAUUAUCAAAUCCUUUUGCAAUUAAAGAUGAAAAGGGAGAUGGUCUUAGCCUUCGAUUCCUCUCUUUGAUUAUUUGGAUACGAGUUUCCUUACUCGACCAUUCGAGCAAUCAUCAUCCAAUAAAAUAUCUCAACACAUCAAACAUAUCUUUUUCUCGCCCCCAUGCGAUCAAAAACCUUUUCAAAAAGAACAUUGUUCAAUCCCUUCUAAUGUGCAUAACAAACUAGUGCUUAAGCCUCUGCCGAGAGUAGACAAGUCAAUGUUUAGCCUUUAGAACACGAUCUAAACAAUUGUUUAUUAAAAGACACCAACAAACUGUAGUUCCCUGAACUACGAAUGCUCUAAUUUACUUAUUGCACUAUAAGGAUACGUAGGCACGAGAUUGCAAGAUCUUGGCAAAAACACUAAUAAAAAAACCUCAUUUCCCCCCCUUUUUGAGGUUUUCUUUCAUUUCUCUUUUCAAUCUUUUAUUUACUCGAAGAAAAUAAAUAACUUUUAUCUAGCAUUCAAAUUGAAAAUUAGACUAAAAGGUUCCCGUUGAGUACAACAGACGUGAGAGAUGCUAAUAUCUUCCCCUUUCGUAAUUGACUCCCGAACCCGAAUUUGGUUGCGACAAUCAUUAUCCUUUUUUUAAAGGUUUUAUCGAUAUUUUCCUUUCCUUAAUUGGAAUAAAUAAAGUUCGGUGGCGACUCUGUUUGAACACAUAUUUCCGCGACCAUCGUGAAGGAUUGUAUUUUUCGAAAUGCGACAGUCACGUCACCACACGUAUUAGAAGAAGGCUAUGAAGCGUUCUAAUGAUGAGAUUGCAUUUAAUGUCUUUGUUCCCCACUAAUUUUUCAACCGAUUCCAUACAUUUCAGUUCUAUUUCACAUCAGACAACAUCCUAGAGGCCAACCAACAUCGCUUAAGGCUUCAUAUGGCUCCUUCACUUCCCGAUAAAGCCUUGGGGGCAACUCUUAUGGGCCAACCAAAGGCCAAACUAGUCAAGGCUCGAUGCAUAUAAAAUCCACUCCACUUUACCUAGGGUAUAAAUUAGUUCACAUGCAAAGGGCAAAGUGUAUUCUAUGAUCUAUACUUUUCACUACAGUUAUAUUGAAUCUUGAACUAACUUUGGCGUUGGAGUACUAAGCAUGCAGGUCCAUCCUGUGUCGUCGUAUAGGAGAUCAACACCACUCAUUCAAGAGUUUUAGUUCUCCAACUGCAUCUAUUUAUGAUUCUUGAACGAAAUAAUAACUAACUUCAUAUGUGUUUACUACUAACUCUAUAUGUGGUUACUACUAACUCAAUAUGUGGUUACUAACUAGAAAUUAAUUAGUUAGUAGUAUGUGAAGGAGAAUUGCGGUCCAAAACACAACGGAAAUUAAAAUUUUCUCCUUAGAGAUCCUUACGAAUGGUCAUGAUCAGUGAUAGAAUAUUUACCUCUUGUGACGAUUGAAACCUUUCGUGCAGAUCUCUUGUGACGAUCAAAACCUUUGAUGCAGAUCCACGGAGCGAUCACGAACGUUGAACGAUGACAACGUCUCUACUCAGUCCACACGAACAGAUUCCUUCACUCUCAGUGCUAGCUGGUACGAAUGAAGGCUUUGAGUGAGAGAGAGAGAGAGAGAAAGAAAAUAAUGCAACCGCUAUUUUAUGCUUCUGCACAAGGGUUCUAUUUAUAGAACCACUUGUGUGGGCUUCAAGCUAAAAAGCCCACUUAAGUGUAUUUUGGCCCAUAUCUUAUAAUAUGCCCAAAAUCACUUAAGCCCAUGGUACCUUACCAUAUUUCGUAUUCUACUCAAGUACACCGUACCUUACGAUGUUCUAUAAUUCACUUAAGGGCACCGUACCUUACGGUAUUCCUUAGUUACUCUAUCUCUCAUCAAUCCGUCCUUUGUGUGUGACCCUGUAGGUUUUCGUGACGUUGGAAAUUAUAUUAAAUCACGCAUUUAACAUAAUAAACAGUGAGCGGUAUCUAGCAACACAUCACUGCUACCCAAGACACGAAAAUGUCAUGUGAUCUGACAAAACCUUCUGUGAUAAUACUUAUGUGUAUAAUUACCCUUUUGCCCUUAUGUCUAUAUUGAACACAAGGUAUAGACCGUGUCAUCCUUGUCCAGUUCAAUAUUGGGCCCAUAGACAUUUAUCCUGUUACGCAGGAUGGGCAAAUUCCAUCUAGGUCACUCAUGUCCCUCAGCAUGCUUCGUGGAGUACCCAUCAACUGUCUUUAUGGUUAUCCAGUUACGGACAACGUUGGAUCAGCAAUAAAGCACUCGACUCUACAUCUAGGAUCCAUAGUGGUUUCAGGUCGAAGAGUGGUAUACACUAUUAUCACCAUGAGAAUAACUUAUGACACUUUGCAUAACUUUCUAUAUAGUAUUCUCAUAGCGGGUCAAUCCGGUAUAAAUAUUACUCCUAAUAUUCAUACCUAUGUUUAAGACUUGAUAACUCUUUAUCCAUGAUCCAUGAGAUGUGAUCAUCAGUCUACAAACAUAAUAGUCUUAAUGCUUUAAUGUUAUCCCACUUCACACUAAAGCUCGACUACGGAUACUUUAAGAAUAGUGUCCUUAUGUUUAAUGUGUUCUCAUGAUUAAGUCACACUUAAUACAUUAAACAGACUAUCUAUUCCAGGGACUUUAUUAAUCAACCAUAAUAAAGAAAAUGCCUUUUAUUAUUAAUAAAUAAUUCGAUAUAAGUAUCAAAAAAGUAUUGGCCUCUAGGGCUUACACCAACAGUAUGAUCAUAUUUAAAUGAUGUAACUCUUAUUUGUAUUGUUCAUUAAGUCAAAUUGAAUACAAUCACUCCUUUGAUCCUUCCCAAUCUCGCUUUAUUUCUCUAUUCCCCUCAUUUAUUGUAGAGAAAUAAAAAUUGUGUUAUAACAUUAUUAAGCCAGUUUAGUCGGUAGUUGUAAAAAAAAUGAGAUUGUAGGUGCACGUGUUCAAAGCUACAACAUUCCACUUAUUUCAUUUAUAACAUAUUUUUAUACACACAAAAAAACAACAACAAAAUACCCUCUUUUAUUUGCUUUACUGGUUUUUUAAGAGUUUGUUUGAUAAAACCAAAAAGUUAGCUUUUAGCUUUCCAACUCACAUCAAUAAAAAAAAAUCAUGUUUGAUAACAAUUUUUUAGCACAAGGUUGUACCUUUUUUUUACUAGCUUUUGACUUUUUUUCAAAUGUUAUUUGAAGUAACUUUUGAACUUAUAUCUUUUAGUUUGUCAUUUCAUCUCCUAUUUUUUAUUCUUAUUAUUUUAAUUAAAAUUCAUUUUUAUCAUUUAUAAUUUAUUAUAAUUUAAAUUAAAAUAAAUAUUUUUUUAAUUGUAAGCAUAGAAAAGUAAAUUUUUUUAUCUAAAAAUAUUGUACUGCAAUGCUUCCUGCCUUCUCUUACUCGUCGUUUUCACUUCACUUUCCUCCAUUCUCUUCCUCAACAUAUUUCACCCUUAUUUUUUAUUGUUGUCGUUCUUCACUAUUAUUUCGUCAUUUAUCAUCUAUCACCAAAGUAUUUAUAUGAGUUUAAUACAUUUUGGUUUUAUGUUAAAUUUCCCAUAUAUAUUUCAAAUAUUUUACAUGUAUUUAUUGUUAUAUUUAAUUUUAUCAAAUGAAUUUUCAUUUAUUAAUAAUAUAAAAGAUAAUGGAACCUGGAAGUUAUUAAUUAAAAAUCUCCUUUUACAUUUUUUAUAUUUAUUAAUUAAUAUGUACUAAUUCAUUAAACAUUAUAAUUAAUUUAUUACUCCCUCGUCUCAUAAAAAGUGUCUCAUUUAUACUUUUUAUUUAUCUCAAAAUAAUUGUCCUUUUAUAAUAUCAAUGCAACAUUUAUUACUAUAAUUUUUCCACUACUAUACCCCUAUUUAUUAAUAACUUUUACUUUAUUCAAAUACUCUAUUAAAUAUAAUUAGUAAGGGUAUUCUAGUAAGUAAUAUUAGUUUUAUCAUUAAAAUUAAUACAUCAAAUCAUUUUCUUAAAAAUUGCAAACUCUUCAAAUAAAACACUUUUUAUAAGAUAGAGGGAGUAGUUAUUAAUUAAUUAUUAAUGUUUCGUUAUCAAUUAGUUAUUAAUAAUUCAUCAUUAGCGAUCACAUAUACUCUAUCAGCUACCUUUUACCUAGAAAAUUUAAAAUAUUUGUUAACUUUUUUUAAUUUAAUAAUAUGUCAUUUGUUUAAAAAUAUUAACUUUUUUAUAUAAAAAGUAUCAUUAGAAAUCAAAUAAGGAAAUUUCCGCAUUCAUUCCAUAUGUGUGUUAACCACUUGCACAAAUUAGUUUAUAUAAAAUAUUAUUUAUAUUAAACUAUAAGAAAGUGAGAGACGUUUGAAUAAAACAUGUGUUUAAAAGAUACUAUGGAGAUUAUAUUAUAUAGAGAGAGAUUACAACUAAUUACAUGUUAUAGUCGAUGUGAGACUAUUUUAUAUACAAAUAUUCUAAAUACUCCCCCUUAAGCUAGAUCAUAUAUGUCCCAUGAGUUGAGCUUGUUUUAAAUGUAAUCCACUAGAGAACCCCUAAGAGACUUUGUAAACAUAUCCGCUAAUUGGUCUUCAAAUUUUACAAAAUAUAUUGUGAUUUCUCAUGAUAAUACUUUGUCCCUUAUAUAAUGACAAUCUAUUUCUAUGUGUUUGGUCUGUUCAUGGAAAACCAUAUUAGAUGCAAUGUGAAGUUAUGAUUAAUUAUCGCAUAUGAGUUUUGUGUUUCGAAGAUCUCCUAUCAUAAGUUUUGAGAGUAAAACACUUUUCAGCCAAGGCAAACUCCUUUGAGGCUGCUGCCAUAACAUGGUAUUUAGCUUCAACACUAGAUAUAUAACUUUAUUUUAUUUCUUGUUUCUACCUGAGCUCAUAUUACCUCAAUCAAAAUACAAUUAUCCGGAUGUGGAUCUCCUAUACGACGGUGAUUUGGCCCAGAAUGCAUCUGAAUAAUAAAUGAUUUUAGCAUCGCUUUUAUCUUCAUAUAAUAUCAUGUUUCUGGUGAAUUCUUUAUAUAUAUAAUAUAAUAUAUAUAUAUAUAUAUAUAUAAUAUAUAUAUAUAUAUAUAUAUAUAUAUAUAUUAUAAUAUAUUAUAUAUAUAUAUAGUAAGAAAUUCGAAUGACUGCAUUCCAAUGACUAUCACAAGAAGCAUUCAGAAACUGUCUCAUAGUGCUCAUUGCAAAUGUAAUAUUCGGUCUGCUGACUGUAAGAUAGUUGAGUAUUCUCAUAAGCCGUCGAUGUCUUCUUAGAUCUUUCAAUGGCUCCCCCUGACCAGGAAAAAGCUUGAUGUUGGGAUCCAUAGGAGUAUCAACAAGACGUCAAUCAAUCAUACUUGUUUCACUAAGAAUGUCUAAGGUAUACUUCCACUGGUUAAUUGCAAUACUGGAUGGGGACUAGAAAACUUCAAUACCUAAGAAGUAUAUGAAUGGACCCAAAUAUUUUUUCUGAAAGUUUUUGAAAAUAUGAGUUUUAAGUCGCUGGAUACCCUCAAUAUCGUCUCCUGUGAUAACAAUGUCAUCAACAUAGACCACAAGAAAGAUGCACCGACCGGUGAAGGAAUGAAGGAAGAAAACAUAGUGAUCUGCUUCACAUCUAGUCAUACCAAAUUGUAUCAAGGCAUAGCUUCAACGAACAAACCAAGAACAUGGGGACUGUUUUAUCCCAUAAAGGGAAUGGUGAAGCCGACAAACAAGUUUAGAAUUGACAAGAAUAGUAAAACCUGGAGGUUGAUUCAUAUAAACUUCCUCCUCCAAUUCUUCGUGUAAAAAGAAAUUUUUAAUGUCCAACUGAUGAAGUGACCAAUGGUGAAUAGUAACCAUUGCAAGAAAGAGACAAACUGAACUAAUCUUGGCCACCGAAGAAAAGGUGUCACCGUAGUCAAGACCAAAUAUCUGUGUAUAUCCUUUGGCUAUCAAACAGGCUUUGAAACGAUCGAUCUGACCAUCUGGUCUAACCUUCAGUGUAUAAACCCAUCGAAAUCCCACUAUAGUUUGUCUGGAGGUAAAGUAAUAAUGUCCCAAGUUUUAUUUGAAUGUAAUGUAGCCAUUUCUUCCACCACCUCCUGACGCCAAUUGGGAUCAAUCAUAGCUUCACCCGUAGACUUAGGAAUAAACACAUAAUCUAAAGCAGGCAUAAAAGAUACAUAGGAAGCAGAGAGAACUUCAUAAUUUAAAACAAAAUCUUAUUUAUGAUUAGGAUUAUGAGAUCAAAUACAUUUUCAUAAUGUUAUUGGAAGGUCAAGUACGGGUGACGUAACUGAAGGAGCAAUUGGAGCAGGAGAUGAUGUUGUGGAUCAAUAUCUUCUCUAACCUCCAAUGAAUGGGGUAUCUGUCAUUGGUAGACCUAUAAUGGAGGUGUAAUGGGUGUGGGAAUUAUGUAAGGGAUAUCUCGAGCAUCUGAAGUACCAUUCUUACCAGGUAACACAAAGGUAGAGAAAAAUGGUGAGGUUUCAAAGAAUGAGACAUCGAAGGAAACAAUGUAUCAUUAAAGUUGGGGACAAAAACAACUAUAUCCUUUUUGUAUACACGAGUAGCCUAGAAAUAUACAUUUGAGAGAUUUGGAAGAAAGUUUGUCUUUACUUGGACUGAGGUCAUGAACAAAGCAUGUGCAACCAAAGACGCAAAUAGGUAUGAGGUAGAGAUUAUAUUGUGGGUUCAAGAAAAAGUAUGGAAUUUGAUAUUGAAGGAUCAAUGAAGGCAUUCAAUUAAUAAGGUGACAAGUUGUGAGAAGAGCAUCACCCCAAAAACGAGAAGGAACACUAUGGUGAAAUAAAAGAGUUUGUGCAAUUUCAACUAAAUGACGAUUCUUCCAUUCAACGAUAAUAGUUUGUUGUGGUGUGUGAGCAAAUGAUAAUUGAUGAAUAAUCUUAUGUGAUGUUAAAAAAGAUUGAAACUGGAAUGACAUGUAUUCAAGAGCAUUAUCAACGCGUAAAUUUUUAAUGUAAUUGUCAAACUAAUUUUUAUUUUCGGCAUAAAAUUCAUGGAAUAUAUGGAAGACAUUUGAACGGUUUUAAAAAAAAACAAUUACAUUGUGUAAAAUCGUCGAUGAAGGUUACGAAGUAAUAAUAUCUUAAAGUUGACUUGACACGACUAGGACCUCAAAUAUCAGAAUGAACUAAAGAAAAAGGUGACACAUCACUUUUAUUUACUCGUUUACAAUAGGUGUAACGAGUAUGUUUUCCUAAUUGACAUGACUGACACUCAAAUGUCGAAAACUAGUAAAAACUAGGAACUAAAAGAUGCAUUUUAUUAAAGCUAUGGUAAUAUAAACAUUGAUGUGUAAGGCUUUGAGAAGAAAUAGAAGCACAUGCCACUGGUGGUGAUAGAUAAUAUAAUCCUCCGAACUUACUCCCUGUUCAAAUCGUCUGUCCUGUACGUCAAUCCUGGACAUAAACAGACUUAUCAAUAAAUAAAACUGAACAAUCAAGAGUACAAGUGAGAUUUUUAACAUAUAUUAGAUUGAUAAGACAACCAUGAGUAUAAAGCACAAAAUCUAAAGACAGGUUUAGAAGUGGGUGUGCCUGAUCAAGACCUUGAAUUUUGAUUUUAGAGUCAUCCGCCACAAUGACAGAAGGCAAAGAAUCAGAAUAUAACAAGUGAGAUAAAACAAACUUAUUACCAGCCAUAUGAUCAGAGGCACCAGAGUCAAGGAUCCAAGGACCAAGGAGGAAGAUGUAGAGACAAAGGCUAGAGGAUUACUAGACCGAGCAACAAUGGUAGAAAAUGAUGGUUGAUGAGCUGCUUUAACUGAAGGAACUCAUUUUAAUCAGUGGCUGGAAUAGUAACUUCUUUGGUAAUAGUGGGUUAGACGUCAGCUGCAACCCUAGGUUGUCGUUGUUGUUCUCUUGCCUUUGUACGACAUUCAACUUCAAUAUGACCUGAACAUGUGUUUAUAAGUUGGGACAAUCAUCACCCUACAAGUCAAUUUUAUAGGGUGAGUUAGGCCUAAAUCACACAUUCUUAAGAUGGUAUCAGAGUCUCGUUUAAGAUCCAUUGAACCAUCCACCAUUUAGUUCCACGCCCCAGACGCAAAUCCUGGACGUGAGAUAGGGUGUUAAAAGUCCCACAUCAGAUAAUCUAUGGUCUGAACAUGUGUUUAUAAGUGGAGAAAAUCCCCACCCUACUAAUCGGUUUUGUAUGGUGAGUUAGGCACAACCCACACAUUCUAAGAGUUUCACUAAUCAAGGACCAAUGGAGGAGGAUGCAGAGACAAAGGCUAGAGGAUUAUCAUACUGAGCAACGAUGGCAGAAGAUGAUGGUUGAUGAGUUGCUUUAAAUUGAAGGAACUCAUUAUAAUCAACAACUGGAAUAAUAACUUCUUUGGUGAUAGUUGGAUGAACGACAGUAGCAUCCCUAGGUUGUCAUUGUUGUUCUCUUGCCUUUGUACGACAUUCAACUUCAAUAUGACCUGAAAAUGUGUUUAUAAGUGAGGGUAAUCGUCACCUUACAAGUCAGUUUUGUAUGGUGAGUUAGGCUUAACCCACACAUGCUUAAAAUGAUAUUAUAGUCUCGUUUAAGAUCCAUUAAACCAUACAUCAUUUAUUUCCACACUUCAGACACAAAUCAUUGGCGUGAGAGGGGGUGUUAAGAGUCUUACAUUCAACUAUCUAUAGUAUGAACGUGUGUUUAUAAGUGAAUUCGCACCCUACUAGUCAAUUUUGUAGAAUGAGUUAAAUCCAACCCACAUAUUCUAAAAGUUUCAAAGAGUGAAAAAAAUGAUAAUUUAAUCAUUGACUUGUAACGAGUAAAAAAAAAGUAUUUUAUAUUAUUUUUAUUUUAUCAAAACAAACAUAAAUAACCUAUAUUUGACGUUACUUUAGCGCAUUACUACCGAAACCGAUUAUUUAGAAUUUUUUACAAAAAUAACCCACUUUUUCAAGGAAAAUCCCAAAAUACCCCUGGUUUCAAAAAAACUCCCAAACUACCCCACUUUUAGGAGGAGUCGCCAAUUGAAUUGGAGACUCCUCUUAAAAAUUGAAUGGAGGCGCCAAUCCAAUUGGAGACUCCUCCUAAAAUGCAAUUUUUUUUGGUAAAUGGUAUACGUGAUAGAUAAAUUUGAUAUAGGACCAAUUGAUAUUAAUAAAAUUUGCCGUUUACACAAAGAAACCUAAUGGUGAUGACCGGGAUCACGUAACCGACCUCCGGUCCCACAUCCUCUAGCUACCCUAACCCGUGGCCCUAACCCACGUUGAUGAUUCGGUAUAUUAAUAAAAUUUGCCGUUUACACAAAGAAACCUAAUGGUGAUGACCGGGAUCACGUAACCGACCUCCGGUCCCACAUCCUCUAGCUACCCUAACCCGUGGCCCUAACCCACGUUGAUGAUUCGGUACCGGUGUUUGAGCAUCUGAGGGCCAGGAGCAUCACUACCAACUACAGGAGAAAGUCUAUUGAGGUAGUCAGACAAGUCGACAUAGUCUUCAGUAUGCAUCGAUGAUGUACCACCGUAGCUGAGCUCAUGACCCAUGCCAGAGAAGUUGGGAUGUGGUUGACUCAUUGAUGGGCGACCGGGACGGUUGAAAGGAGACAUCGAUGUGUACGAUGCAUCGAGGAAAGGUUGGAAAGGUUGUUGGGGUGUUUGGUAGAGAUAGGGUUGUUGGAUGUUUUGGUUUUGUGAGGUUUGGGCUUCUUGGUUACGGUAGGAGGAGGGGCGGUUGGUGUUGAAUGAUCGUUGGGUGUUCUCGCUUAGGCGACUUUGGUAGGGUGAUGGGGUGGGUGCAAAGCGAUGUUGAGUCUCAGGUUCAUGGUCAAUUUGUUCGUGGUGUUAUGGGGUAUGCUCUUGGUAUUGGGGUUGGGUGUAUGGAAUGUUUUGUUGUAUGUUUGUGUGUUGGUUGAACGCAACGUUUGACAGACAGGGGGUUGUGUGUAUCCGGUAUGACACUGUUGUUGGGGGUUUAAUGUUGAGGUGUCAGGUGUGUAAGUCAUCUGGCGUGGGUCGUACAAGUACAUAUCCUCGGCGAUGAACUGAAAACCAACCGAUUUGUACCAAGCCAUAUAAGUACGACUUGGUUUUUCUCAGUUGCAUGACAUCGUCAGUGUAACCACAUGGUCAUUGACGUGGCUUCCAUUUGCGGACACUCGGAUCUUGCCGAAGAUUUGCCAUGGCAUUGAAGUCCAUUGGUCGUUAACUUUGCGCAAAUGCCAUUCUCCUAGGCUAGCUGGGGGAUCUGGGAUAUUUUGGGGCAUACCGAACUGCAGCUUCACACGAUCACUGUUGUGCAUCUCCACAGUUGUGAACCGUAUUAUCGGUGUGCAUGCAAUCCAUACGGCCGCGUCUUCAGUGUUGACUUGAUGGUCAUGAUCCAAAUUAAGGUAUGGACGCCAAAUAAACUGAAAUGUAAAAGAAGAUUGGAUUAUAGUCAAGGUAAAAGAAGUUAACAAAAUAUAACAAAAUAAUUAAGUUAUUUUCCUUACGUCUGUCGGUCGAAGGUGAUCUAACAGGUUGCGAUACUGAGUAAUACAGUGUCUUGGACAUCUGUUGUAACUCAUACCACGUGCAGACCAUCUACACGAAAAAUUCAAAAAAUAUUAGUUAGAGGUAAUAAUAUUUAAAGAAGUAAGUAAAGAUAUAGCAAUUUAAACAACUUACUUUUGUGCAUACGGAAAUGUGAAAGGGUUGUUGUUGACGGGGGCUAGGGACGGUAGUCUAGACCAACCCCAUGCUUGUAGCAAAACAACACAUCCAGAAAAUGUAGAUGUGUCUUUGUGUGAGUUUUUGCACAAGGAGCUAUAGAGAUAGGCUAGACAAGCAGAUCCCCAACUGUAACUUCAUAUUCUAUCUACAUGUUUAAGUAAAGGUAAAUACAUAAUAUGCAUGCUAGAACCACUACCUUCGGGAAAUAAAAACGAGCCAAUUAACAGCAUAAUGUAACACCUAGUUUUUAUUAUUCGAGCAUCUUCGGUAGAAUGCUCAUUUAAGUAUAAACUAUUAUAGUACGACUUAAGGCGUGAAAGUAGUAUACCUUAACCUCUUGCAUUAUCAUCUAACAAAUCAGUCUCCAAGAGAUCCAUGCAAAUUCAAUUCGCAUAGUUGGUUUUACCAUUAACAACCUUACCUUCAAUGGGUAUUCCCAAAAGCAUGUAGACGUCUUCUAACGUCACGGUACACUCAUCGGUUGGGAACCAAAAUGUGUAUGUCUCUGGUCUCCAUAUUUCGCAUAAAGCUAGAAUGAAUUUGUUAUCUAUGGACCAAGACAAAAUCUUGCUUAUAUGACCAAAACCGACGAGUUCAACAUAAGGUUGAAUCAUCGGGUCCAUAUGGACAUAUUCGUGGACCCGAGUUCGGAACCUUGAUACAUCCUAUAAAAGAAAGAACAAAAAACUUGACUAAGUUGGUAUGUUAAAAUAAAAGGGGGUUGGUGAAGAUGAAAGAUAAAAAGUUAACAAAAGAAAAAACUUACAUAUGUUGUGAUGUUUGCAACCGUUCCUCUAUGUGAUUCGCCCAUUGUGAGGAUAGACAUUUUGUCGGGGGGUUGGUGUAGAUGAAACUACAAGAAGUUGUUGCAGAUGAAAUUGUAGAAGAAGUAUUGUAGAAGAAGUAGUGAGAGUGAUGGUGUGGAAGAAGUGUUGAUGGAGUGGAUGUAUUUAUAGGCAAAUGGAUGGGAGCAUGAAAAGUUGUGCUUGCAUGGUGUCUCCACUUGAAUUGGCGACCAUGUACAACCUUUAAGAGGGGUCGCCAUUCAAAUUGGCGCCUCCAUAGGGACAUGCAUGCAAGACCUAGGUCUGAUUGCUUGGUUUCGAGGUCUGAAUGCAUGCUUUGACAAGGUGUCUCCACUUGAAUUGGCGCCCAUGUGCAAGGAAUGAGUGGGGGCGCCAAUUCAUUUGGAGUGUGUGUCUGCAUGUCUGACACGUGGCUGUCCUCUCUCUUGCAUGCUGAACAUGUCACUUCUUAGUAGCUUGCAUGGUUGACACAUCAUUUCGGAGUAGCUUGCAUGUGCGACACGUCACUUCGGAGUAGCUUGCAUGUGCGACACGUCACUUCGAACUAGCUAGCAUGUGAGACACUUCACUCCUCUAUUUAAGUGUCUUACUAUCAACAUCCAAGACACUUCACUCACAUUCAUCUGCAGUAAGAAAAUAGUUUUCAUCUGCACAAUGUCAUCUUCAUCAUUAUACAGUGUCAACGUUCACUACAACGGUGAAACAUACGAGUCUGAGCUAUAUGGUUUUUGUUUUCGAAACACCGAUACCAUUAGACUCACGAUCAAGAGAAAUGCAACCUUCUUGCAUUUGAAAAAAAGAAUACAAUCCUGUAUAGGAUCGGGUAUUGUGUCAAAGAUCACAUAUCAAAAUCCAAUAUUUUUUUAGAAUAGUCAAUGCAAGUAUUUCCCCCUUAAGGUACGAGACGAUGAAGAUGUUGAAUACAUGUUUGUUAGUCAUGAACAUUCAGGCUGCAACUGUAUUGAGUUGUACAUUACUCUUCAACCAUGUAUACCAUCUCAACAGUCUCAACUAACCAGUCAGGAUGAAUCUGGUGAAUUUGAUCCAUAAUGGUCAGAUGACGUCAACCCAGAAGCAGAAGCAGAAGUGGACGUUGUUGAUAAAGACGAAGAGGAGACCGAGAUACAGGUUGAUCACAUGCUGAAUAACGACGAUGAAGAUGAUGAUCAACCACCACCAAUACCUCAUAGUCAGUUCUACAACCCGCCUCAACAUAUGACAAAUAUGGAUCUGCACGACGAUGAAACAUCCAACAGUGUUUUCUAUAAUUCGUAUCCGAGAUUAGAAGGCGAAUUAAAGGUGGGAGACAUGUUUCAUACCAAAGAAGAAUGUGUUCUGGCUAUCAAAAAAUUCCACAUGAAUAACUCUGCUGAUUUUACAGUGAAACACACUGACUCUAGAAGGUAUGUUAUCGAAUGUCGUAACAUGCUUUAUAAGUUUUGUUUGGCUGUGUCUUACAAGAAGAAAAUCGACUCUUGGGAGAUCGCUUCAAUAGACCCACCUCACAGUUGCAUUGCAACUAACGUUGAACAAGAUCACCAUAAACUAAGCACAACGUUGAUAUGUCAAGACAUUCUGCCGUUGGUUAAUAAAGACCCAUCAGUGAAGGUGAGUAUAAUUAUAUCCCAUAUCAGAACAACAUAUAAUUAUACUCCAUCUUACAAGAAANUAUGAGAUGUGGAACAAUUGCUCACACGACGCAUCUAUUUAUAACACAAAAAUUGUAUUUUAGGAGUAGUCUCCAAUUGAAUUUGCACAUCCUCUUAAACCCUACACAGGGGCGCCAAUUGGAUUGGCUAGGGCACCUGCCCUAGCCAAUCCAAUUGGCGCCUCCAUUCAAUUUUUAAGAGGAGUCUCCAAUUCAAUUGGCGACUCCUCCUAAAAAUGGGGUAGUUUGGGAAUUUUUUUGAAACCAGGAGUAUUUUGAGAAUUUCCUUAAAAAAAUGAAUUAUUUUUGUAAAAAUUUCAAUUAUUUACACACAUUUAAUCAAAUUACAUUAUAAUACAAUUUUUAUUUCUGAUAUAAAGUUAUAAAUAUUUUUAUGAUUAGAUAUAGUAGUUGGGGAUAGGAUGGUAAAAUGAUUAUAGAAGAAAAAAACAUUAUAACUAAGGAUAAUAUUUGCAGGGAAAUAUUAAAAAAACUAAUUAAUUAUUAAAAAAAUGUGAGAAUGGACUAGUAAGAACGAAAAGGACAGAAAAGUCGUAUUCAAAUACACGCACGUGACACGCGUGUGGCACUAGAGGCCAAGUAUAGAGGACGCGGUUUUUGGAUUCAAUUCAGCCACAGUUUUUAGCUUCACAUUCAUUGAUUGACUUGAGCCUGUGGGCGAAGACCAUAACGUGUUUAUAAUCAUGAGUCACGAUUUAGAUAGCAUAACAUCAUUCUUAUCCUUAUCCCUAAUCAUACAUUUUGCACACAAAUUUUUUACACGUCAUUUUUGUCCCUUUUCAUUAAGGUAUUCCCUACAUGUUACGGUCGGUGACUUAAGAUUUGUCUUUGUUGAUUUUGGAAACCAUGCUUUUCUUUUUGUCGUAAUGCGUGACACGCGCUUACAUUUUGUUUGUUUGUUUAGUCCAAGAGAAUAGAAAGAUAUUCUCUCCAAUUUUACUUUUGAAUUUUGUUAUUUUGUGCCCUAAGAAUAUAUAUUAGGGGGUAAUUAAUUAAUUAAUAAUAGUUAAUUUUAUCUAUUUUAUUUUGAAAUAUGGAAUAAUUAAUUAUUUAAAAUAUUAAAUUUAUAUUUAUUAAAAACGAUUAGGACAAAAUUGCCCUUUCAUUCAUAUUUAAUUUUACAUAUUUUUAAUUUGAAUUCAAUGAGAAGUUUAGAAUCAUUAAAGAUUAUAAAAGAUAAAUUUUUAUCUUAUUAUUUUAUUAUUUUUAAAUUAGUUUAAAAUUAUUUUUCUUUAAAUUACAAUAAUAUAUUACUGUAAGAGUUAUGUUGAAAUUCUUUUAAUAUAAAAUCAAAAUGCUUUAAAAGUUCAAUAAUGUAGGAAAAUAAACUACAAUUUCAAAUAUAUCAUUCAAAUACAACUUUUUUUUUAGAAAUGAUCCAAAUAAAAAAAAAGAUUAUUAAAUAAACUUGUGUUUUAAGGUUCAAUUGAUUCAACCGAUUAAAUCUACAGUCGAACCGUUUAUUAAAUAAACUAAUAAUAUAAAAAUAAAUUUCAUAAAUAUGUCACACAUAAUCAUAUAUUCACAACUUAAUAAAAUAAAUAUUUCAAAAAUUUAUUACAAAUUUAAUACAACAAUAUCGAUAAUACAUAUAAUAAUAUAACGUUUUACACUUUAUUUCAGCAUUCAUUUAAGAAUAAUUUGACAAAAUUAAAGAAUUACAAUAAAUAAAGUAAAACUAAUUCAAACCAAAAUUAAAAUAAUAGAGUAUAAUAACUAAAAUAAAGUUCAAAUAAUUAAGAAUAUCUAAAUUAAAUAAGAUAAAAUACAAAAAAUAAAUAAUCUAAUAUACUUCAUUAAACAACAACAAAAAAAUGAAUUUGAGUUUAACUAUGACAAAUAAAUAUUAAUUGACAACAACAAAGAAUAUUGACUUGAACGACAAUCAAUAUUGAGUUGGAUAUCGUGACUAUGUUUGAAAGGGACGGUGUGAUGAUGAUAAUGUGUAUGGUUAAAAGAAAAACUAUAAUGGAGUGACAAACCUUAGAAGUUCGUAUUCUUGUAAAAAAAUACAUCUUUUUUUUGUGAUUGGGAAAGUUGGCUAAAUUUUGAUAUUGACAUAUUAAAAUUUUUUAAAAAAUUAAAAAAUAAUCAAUUUGAUGCAUUAUUUUGAACCAGACAGUUUUACAAAACCGAUUCCGAUUCUUUGACUCAAAUGGUUUUGAACGGUUUAAUCCGUUUUUUUCGGUUUUAUUCCGGUUUUGAUCCACUAGCAGUUUUAAAAGAUUGACCCAGCCAGAUUCAUCUUCGAUUCCCGGUCCAACCUGUUGAACCGACCAGUUCGGUUUUUAAAAUAUUGUAUAUAUCAUCAAUUUCUUCAUAUUAUAAAAAUAAAAACAAAAAGAAAAUUUAGUUAACAAAUUAAAAAUAUAAGAAAACAUAAAAAAUAAAUAUAAAAAUUAUAAAAAUAGAAAUAUGUACCUAAAUUUUUGGUAGAAGAACUGAAUUUGAAUUUGCAUCUUGACAAAUUUUCUUCUUCUUGUUUGUAGUGUGAGCAAAAAAUUGAAUAUUUUCAUUUAGAGGACAUGUUGCAAUAUUAUGUCUUACGUCUUUGUAUAAUCUAUAAGUAUUCAUGGUAUGUGAAAGCUCUUUUUCACCUUUAAGACAUCUUCGUGUAGGACGACCUUUUGUUUUGGAAAUCGAAGGGUAUUAAACAAUAUCAUUCGCACGAGCUUCAUUAUUGUAACAUAUUAUUUGAUCCUCAAACACAACAUUGAUUGGUUGAGGAUUUACUUCCUCAUCCCCAUGUGAUAAUUGAAGUCGCCAUCGUGAUGGCAAGUAAUUAGAAGGGAUUUCAUGACAAUCUUUAUGAAGAAAAAUAUUGAGAAUGUGUCGAUAUAAUACCCAAAAGCUCAAAGUGCUUACAGCUACAUGUAGCUAUUUUACCAUCCCAAAAGAUCAUGUGUUUUCUACUAUUAGCAUCUUUAUAAUACCGCAACACAAACACAUUAACAUUUUCAAUUGAAUAUUGAGUGGACAUUUCAAACUUCUCUUGAAACUUUUUAAAAGCAAAAUAUGUGAGAAGACUAUGAGUUUGCUCUUGCAAAGGUGAUAUUAGUUUCAUGUUCAAUCUUUUGCAUUUUUCUAACAUUAUAUCAUGCUUUUAUUUUUGCUUAAUAUCAUUGAUUGCUAAAUCAACCUGAAAUUAAUUUAAAUUAAUCAAAACAUAAUUGUAUAAGAUUAUGGCAAUGAUGAUAUUUUAAAAAUCAGAACAUAGCUACUUUGUAAAAUCACUAAAACUUGUAUGGGAAUUUAUCAAUCCAUGUGGUUGUAAUUCCACCAAAGAAAUAGUCACGAAGAUAAGUGAGUGCCAAAUAACUUUUAAUUUCAUAAAAGCCUCUCACAUGUUUAUUUGAUUGCAAGUUAUACUUAGCAAUAACUUUUGGUCAUUGAUGCUCAUAUUCUUCAUGUGUCUCCAACUUAUACAAGCCAUAAAAACCAGAACACCAUUUUAGAUAUUUGUCUCGGAGUAUAACAUUAAACAACAACUAAACUUGAAAGUGAUGUUCCAUAUGUAAAAAUAAUGUUUUGUUGAUGGAAACUCUUUUGAAAUUUCUUCUUUCAUUAAUGGAUCUUGAUCUGUUAAUAUAGUCUUCGGUGACUUCUUCAUCAAAGAUAUAAAAGUCUAUAAAAAAAUUAUGUAAUUAAAAAAAAUGAUACAAUAACAAAUGAUAUAAGAAAAAUCAUGAAAUUAAGCUUAUAAGUUACCUUCAUCAACCAACAAAAUGCAUAAGUUUUUUCAUUUGGUAAGAGUGCACAUCCAAAAAGUAUAGUCUUUCCAUGACCAUUCAUACCCACAAAAAUUCCAAAUGGCAUUUCAUAAGAAUUUACCUUGCAUGUAGUAUCAAACACAACAAUGUCGUCAUAUUCUUGAUACCAAUCAAAACAAUAAGCAUGAGACUAAAAUAUAUGCUCUAACCUUCUUUCUUCAUCAAGUGUAUAUGCAUACUGAAAUUUAGAAUAACUCUUUUUGGCAUCCUCACAAUACUUAAGAAGAUCAACAACAUCAGUUAUUUCAAUUUUUUUCUUGGUUUUCAAAAACAGAUUGCGAACAUCCUUUUCAAUAAAUGGAAGAUAACCAUGCUCCACAUUUUUUUAGCUCUAUAAAACACAUUAAUUGUUUAACUUAAAGCGCACCUUGCUUUAACAAGAACAUUCGUUCAGAAUAAUCAUCUGAGAUAAUUCGGUUAACUAGUAAGAACCACACUUCUGAUUGAGUUAGCAAAGUAUGAUUAUGUUCAACAACAAAUGUUAUAACUCACCACUCACUUGGAAACAUAUCAUGAGUUUUUUGCAAAGAAAAUCGCAAAUGAGCUUUACAUUCUGUAGCGGGGUUUUCGUUACCUUUAGGUUUAUUGACUAAACCAAAAGUCAACAUACAAUUCGAGUCGCCACCGCACUUUUAUUUGUCCAAAGGAAAGGCUAAAAAGCGAACAAAAGCCAAGGUUUAUUGACUAAACCAAAAGUCAACAUACAAUUCGAGUCGCCACCGCACUUUUAUUUGUCCAAAGGAAAGGCUAAAAAGCGAACAAAAGCCAAGGUAAGAAGUUUUUCAAAUAAAAAACUAAUAAAAAAUGUCAGAGAUCUGGGUAAGGGGGUUGGUUAUGAAAUGGGAAGGUUUUACGCACCCAAAAUAUCCUUAGUACUCUAAGGGAACCCUUUUUGCAAAUACGUGUUGUAGGUUGGUAUUUGUGAAAAUAUUUGUACAAAGGAUUGGGGAGAUGAGAAGAGAAUAUAUUAUUUACAAAUUUGUUGUUUGAAUGGAUGAACCCAUUGCCUACGUACCAUCCCAAAGGUAGGAUAAAAACCUCGUAGUUCGGGGUAAAAAUCUCAAAGAUUGGUGAAUUGAUUUGAUCAAAAGCCUUAAGGUAUUUUGUUAUCAAAGAGAGAAAACUCAACCUAAACCAACAAUCCAUCAUGUGAGGAAGGCUUUAACAUACUAGUGAGGGGUUAACCCUAUAAUAAGCAUGGAAGGCUUAUAAUCCAAUCACUAAGGAUGAGGUGAGAUUUACAUCAACCACUAUGAUAAUUCAAACCUAUGACUAAUGUUUUUGAAAAGAUUUUAAUAAGGUGGCCAUUGGAACCACAAAAUCAACUUGAAGUGAGUUAUAUUUACAAGUUAGGUUUAUUUACAAAAUAAAGUCAAAGUUGGACUAAGAUUUAUUCACAAUGAGUAUUGAUGAAAAUGGUUUUGAAAAGUCGAAGGCUUAAGGCCUAUGUUUCUAAUUUGAAACAAAGUCAAAGUUUAGAAAAUAAUUUUUGGCUUGGUUAGAGUGGGGAGAAGAAGAGAAGGGCUAGCCCUAAAGCAUACAAAGAUAAGAGAGGAAAGAUAAACCCUUGGAGUUCCUUUUCUUGAAGUCAUAGAGAUGACUCAAGAUGCUCCUUUCCUUUGGACUUAGCACACAAACAAGCAAUCAUACAAUUUGAAAUCAAGCUCCUAGGAUCUCCAUUUGGCUUGUCUCUUAACUUGGCUACUCAUGACAAUGGUCCUCUUUUCACAAUCUCAAGGUGGGAUCCCUAUCACACAAAAGCAAACAUCAAAAAGUUCAUAACACAAUAAGAGGAAUGGACAAAGAAUAAGUUUGGAUGAGAAGUUCUUUGAAGUCAACUUUGAAUUUUAGCAUUCUAAAGGCAUGAGGCCUAGUUGCUCUUCAACAAAUUUAGCAUUCUAAAGGCAUGAGGCCUAGUUUCUCUUGAACUCCUUUAUGCAUAGGUUAAUCCUAAUUCUAAGUCCUUUCUCCUUUUUGCAAUUGGUUUACACAAAACAAACACAAAACAAACACAAGAUAGCAAUAUAUUUAUAUACAAAUAAUGAGCUUAAAUGAGCAAAAGAAAAAUGACAUAAACAUAAAAUAUAUGCUCAAGUGAGCAAAUGAAAAGCAAUAUGAACAAAUGAGCAAGAAAUAAAUGACAUUAAAAGUAAAUGACAAGAAAUUAAAUGCUUCAAAUUAAAGUUAGUAGUUAGUGAAGUUAUGUUAGCUCGUCAUAAGAUAGUGUAUCGCUAUGUUAAGCAAUCAUAAGUGGAUUAAUGUAGUAGUCACACCUAUCUGAGGCUGGUCAAUAAAAAUAUAGGCAAAGAACACAAGUUAGAGAUCAUGACUAGUAAGCCAAGCUCCAUAAACUUGCCAUGCCAAAACAAAAGGGGAAGGACCUUGUAUUGUCUUUAGGUUAUUUGCUUGACCAAGAAGCAACCUAUCUUGGACACAAAAUAACUCACUUGAUCAUGGAUCAAGUUGAGUUUGGUUUGGAUCAAAGAAGGUUAAACCUCUCAUUUGUCUCUUUAGGUUAUUUGCUUGACCAAGAAGCAACCUAUCUUGGACACAAAAUAACUCACUUGAUCAUGGAUCAAGUUGAGUUUGGUUUGGAUCAAAGAAGGUUAAACCUCUCAUUUGUCAAGACCAACCAGAAGAACUUAACUCACUGGCCAUUGAUGGGAAGAAUGGGAUGAAGAUGAAAGGGAGGGAAAAAGAAGACAAGUAUCAAAUCCAAUUGAUCAAAUAUGGACCAAACCAACAUCAAUCAACACCAAACAGAAAAGAAAUGAAGAUAACAAGUCAACAAGUCAACGAUAUUUUUUUGAUAUUUUUUUGAAUUAAAAUAAAAGGCAAAUAAAAAAUAAUCAAAUAAGGUCAAAUCUCAAAUUCAAUUCAAAUCAACUUCAACAAGUCCAAUUAAAUUCUCAUAGGUCUAACAUGGUCAAACAAACUUUGACUAAUUUUCUCACCAAUUUUUGAAAUCAGAAAGCAAUUAAAAACAAUUAAAAACAAUUAAAAACAAUUAAAAACACUAGAAAAUAACACAAUAUGAACUAAAAUCUCAAAUAAAUCUCAAAUCAAAUAAGAAAUUGAUGAGACUAUUUUUCAUUGACUUAUCAUGAUCCAUAGGUGCUAGGAAAAUAUUUUUGGAUUUUUCAAGAGUCAGAAAGUAUUUUAAAAUGAAUUAAAACUAUUAAAAACCAAAUAAUUCACAAAAAAUAUUAAAUAAAGUCACAAAAAUAAUUAAAAAUCAAAAUAUGAAACUAGACUUUUCAAGAAUUUUUUUGGAAUUGGUCCCAUAUUUUUAUGACUUCAAAUAAUUUUUUUAUGAAUUUUUGAAAAUAAAAGGAAUAAACUGAAAUUAAAAGAAAAUAGAAAUAAUGGAAAAAACCACAACCGUGUGAUACAAUUCAUUAAUUGAUGUGGCAGCCAAGAACGGUCCAGAUGUGAGGGCGCAGGGUGUGUUCGAGUCAAAUGCGCAACAUCAUGAAUUAAAUAAAGUAAGCGCAAUGAAAGACCAAGAUUAGAUCCUGAACUCAUGAUCCAAAGGCCAAGAAUGACACACGUGGUGAUGGUGGUGGAAACCACCAUCUUCUCCGGUGAACUAACAAUCUCCGGCCACCAGUUGUAGAGAAAAAGAGUUUAACAAAAAUGAAAAGUAAGGACAUGAAAUUGAAGCUCGUGUGAUGGAGAUCACCACUGUAUCCAUGGAUCUUCCUCACUCUUCCUAUAUUGAGAGAAAUGUGAAGUGGAAGAUCAUGGUGUACCAACUGUAAAUGCACGAAAUGGAAAAUUGAAACUGUAUCCAUGGAUCUUCCUCACUCUUCCUAUAUUGAGAGAAAUGUGAAGUGGAAGAUCAUGGUGUACCAACUGUAAAUGCACGAAAUGGAAAAUUGAAACCACCAUUGGCUUGCCUCAAGUGUGAGGAAUUCAGAAAACCACACAAACAAGAGAAAGCUACAUUGAAUUGCAAGUUCUAGAUCCAAAAAGUUUGAAGGUAUACCUCUGAACUGAAGCUCUUUAAGCCACGAAACCUUCAAGAUCUUGGCUCCUCUUUGCUCUAGGGAUGCAGUGGAGGUGAUAAGCUAAGGAAUUGAGCUUUGAAAAUCAACUAAUGAUGUUGAAUUUCAAGCUUGAAAGUGAGAAGAAUUUCUGGAAAAUUCCUUUGGUAUGACUAUGGUUUCAAUGCUGCAGCGUUUCAAAUCUCCAAAAGGUUGAUGAAUGAAUGAGAGGGAGCUGUUAUUUAUAGUUGAAAUUGGCUGCGCAUCAUGCUUCCCUCGUGUGCAUGGCAUUUGAAGUUGGAUAUGCAUGGGCCUGGACAGGCACAUGUGAGGCCCAAUGAUGGGUGCAAAACCAUGCUGAGUUCAUUUGGAAUGGAUUUGGACGUGUAUAUGAAGUGGAAUCAGCUUGCAUACCAAGUUAUAACAUGAAAUGCCAAAAUGCACAUAAAUGAAAAGCUCUUCGAAACUCCCAAAUGUUAAGUCAAAAAAAGUAACGUGAGUAAUGGUUGGAAAGCCCUUGAAAUAAGGAACAAAAGUCAUGUUGGGCAAAAAUUCAUUUGGCAUUUGGAAAUUAAUGAAAAAUGGUUGUGAAAAUUUAGGUACAAAACAUGUAUAAGUCACCUUUGAAAAUUUUCACCAUAAGCAAGCCUAUUCAAACCCCUCUGCUUCCAUGAUGAAAGCUUCAAAUGGAAAAACCUCUAACAUAAAAGUUGUAUAUAACUUCAAGAUGAUCAAUUUAGACUCAAAUUUUGCAUCAUUUGGAUUUUCUAUGACAAAGUUAUGGGCAUUUGAAGUUGGGUACUUUUUCAAAUUCAAUGAAUUAGGUCCAAGAUGACCUAUAAUGUUUUGUAGUAUCACAUGUAUUUAUUUUAUGAUUAUGAAAUUUUGUCUAACAUAAUAUUUGAAGUAGAUCUCAAGAUUUCCAAUGCAUUUUGUAUCACCUAAAAAUAAUAAAAAUUAAGGAAGUUAUGUCCUUGGUAAGUUGACCCAAAAUUAGGGUUUCAGUCAAAAUGACCUAUAAUGUUUUGAAAUGAAUGAUGACCUUAAAUGUUUCAAAUGUAUUUUUGAUGAACAUGAUAGUUGUUCAUAUGGUUCUUAAGAAUAUUUUUUAUCUUGGGGUAAUCUUCAUUUUACAAAUACAUCAAAAGUUAUAUCUCAAUGGUGCUCAGCUUAGUCAGAUGACUUGACUGGUGAACUUCUCAAGACCAAACUUCCAAUCUUGAUGAAUAAAUGAUUGAGGAUGCUCAAAUAGGAUCAUAUAUGCAUAAAAUGAUGAAUGAAAGGACUUCCCUUGAUUAAAUUUGAUCAUAGGUUGAGGUUGCUUCAUGGGCAAGGCAUAGUCAAAGCACAGUUGAAUUAGGGCUUCCUUGGGAAACAAUCCUCAAGCCCUUUGGGUUAUCUUUAUCAAAUUGGAAAAUUUAGAUACUUAGGAGACAUAUAUGAUGAUUAGGAUCUUUGUGGACCAUUUUCAUGCUUUUUCUCAUCUUCAUCUAGCCAUUGCAUUGGGCUUAGGAGCCUCCUAUGAGCAUUGGAGCACAUGAUCACUUGAGCUUCAAAACAAAAAGAGUUAGUGACAUAUUUUUUGUGCUUUUGGUUAGUAAACAAAAUAAGAAAAUAAAUAAUAUACAAUACAAACAUGCUUGGUGGUCUCAAACCACUCAUACAAGUCCCAACCCUAGGGUUAAGGAGCAAAACAUGCUAUGAUCCUUGAGGCAAUGCACUUGUGUAAUAACAUGAUGCAAUGAGGGAUCUUAGGGUCAAAAUUAGGGUCUUACAACAUUCACAACUAAUUGAUUCUCUAUUUCUUUGUUCUUUCGAUGAUUAUAUAAUUUUCAAGGAAGUCCUACCUCCACGAUGACAAAAGAAAUCACACCUACUCACAAUUCUAUUUUGUUUGAUGAAUCUACCUAUUCGAACUGAGAAUCUGUAUUGAUAUGCAUAUCUCUUAUAAAAAUAUGCUUCUUCACUAAGAAAAAUUUGACCAAUAAAAGGAACAAUAUUUGACUCCUUAAAAGUGUCACCCUCACCACUUUCUUGUAAAAAUCCAUUUAUCUCAAUAUUUUGACUAGAAAUCACAAUAUUUUCUUUCUCAAAAUUUCCAAUUUCUUCAACUUCGUCUAUAAUAUUACAACCAACAAUAAUUUCAGAAGAACCAUUUUUUGAAGAAACUUCUUCUACUGAAUAUUCAAUAUUCAAACAUAAAUCCAAAUUUAUUCUAUUAUUGUUCACACUUUCCAUUUUGUAUUUAUCUUCCAAAAAUAAAAAGAACGAAAAAGAUUAUCCACCCGACUAUAAAAAGUUAUUUUAAAAAAAUUGGAAUCGUAAAAUAACAUACAAAAGAUAAAAAGAUAAAUGACAUACCUGAGUAAGGAAAGUUCUUAAAUUGUCAUACUUGAGAAGAUUUCAGUUUUAACAAAGUAUUUUUAAGGAAGUGUGAAAUUUUUUCUAUGAAAAAGGAUUUUGCUAUCUUGUGCCCCAAGGGCACAUAAGGGCACAUGUUAAAUGAUAAGUAAUGAUAGUUAAUUUCAUCUACUUUAUUUUGAAAUAUGUAAUAACUAAUUAUAGUAAUUAAAACAUUAAAAAUUAUAUUUAUUAAAAAUGACUAGGACAAAACUACCCGUUCAUUCCUAUUUAAUUUUUUAUAUUUUCAAUUUAUAUUUAAUGAGAAUGUUUAGAAUAAUUAAAGAUUACUGAAGACAAUUUUUUUUCUUUCUAUUUUUAAAUUAUCUUAAAAUUGAUUUCCUUUAAAUUACAAUAAUAUAUUGCUACAAGAGUUAUGCCGAAGGUUUUUUAAUUAUAAAAUUAAAAUGCUUUAAAAGUACUAGCAAAAUAAAUUACAAUUCCAAAUAUAUCAUUUAAAUAUAAUUUUUUUAGAAAUCACAUGAGGACGAGGAAGUGAAUCCUUAACCAAUCAAUGUUGUAUGUCUUAAAGGUGGAAAAAAGUUUUCACAUACAAUAAAUACUUGUGGAUUACGCUGUAGGACAUAGUAUUGCAACAUGUCUUCUAAAAAAAAAUAUUCAAUUUUUUACACACACUAAAAAUAAGAAGAAGAAAAUUUGUCAAGAUGCAAAUUUAAAUUCAGUUCUUCUAUCAAAAAUUUAGGUACAUAUUUUUUAUUUUUAUAAUUUUUAUAUUUAUUUUUUAUAUUUUUAAUAUGUUAACUAAAAUUACAUAAUUUUUGUUUUUAUUUUUAUAACAGGAAGAAAUUGAUGAUAUAUGAAUGAAGUAAAUCCUUAACCUAUCGAUGUUGUCUUUGAGGACCAAAUAAUAUGAUACAACAAUGAAGCUCAUGUGAAUGAUAUUGUUCAACGCCCUUCGAUUUCAAAUACCAUGAAUACUUGUGGAUUAUUGCAAUAUGUCCUCUAUAAGAAUGCAAAUUUAAAUCUAGUACUUAUACCAAAAAUUUAGGUACAUAUUUUUUAUUUUUAUAAUUUUUAUAUAUUUUUUUUUGAUUUUUUAUAAUUUUAAUAUGUUAACUAAAAUUAUAUUUUUAAUGAUUCUAAAUAUUCUCAUUAAAUAGAAAAUAAAAUAAAAGUUUCUCUUCCAUAAUCUUUAAUGAUUCUAAACAUUCUCAUUAAACUCAAAUUGAAAAUAUAAAAAAUUGAAUACGAAUGAAAGGGUAAUUUUGUCCUAAUCAUUUUUAAUAAAUAUAAAUUUUAAUGUUUUAAUUACUGUAAUUAAUUAUUACAUAUUUCAAAAUAAAAUCCCCGUUACAAAAAUAAAAACAAAAAAAAUAUGUAAUUUUAGUUAACAUAUUAAAAAUAUAACAAAUAAAUAUAAAAAUUAUAAAUAAAAAAAAUAUGUACCUAAAUUUUUGGUAGAAGAACUGAAUUUAAAUUUGUAUUUUAACCAAUUUUCUUCUUGUUUUGAGUGUGAGCAGAAAAUUAAAUAUUUUCUUUUAGAGGACAUGUUGCAAUAUUAUGUCCUACAACAUAAUUCACAGGUAUUCAUUGUAUGUGAAAGCUCUUUCCACUUUAAGACUCUUUUCCACUUUAAGACGUACAACAUUGAUUAGUUGAUGAUUUACUUCCUCAUCCUCAUGUGAUACUUGAAGUUGCCAUCGUGAUGACAAGUAAUGAGAAGGGAUUUCAUGACAAUCUUUAUGAAGAAAAAUACUUAGAAUGUGUCGAUAUAAUAUCCCCUAAAUUUUUUGAAAAGCAAAACCUGUGAGAAGACUAAGAACUUGAUCUUGCAAAUGUGAUAUCAACUUCAUAUUCAAUCUUUUGCAUUUUUCUAACAUUAUAUUCUGCUAUUCUUUUUGUUUAAUAUCAUUGAUUGCUAAAUCAACCUGAAAUUAAUUUAAAUUAAUCAAAACAUAAUUGUAUAAUAUUAUAACAAUGAUGAUAUUUUAGAAAUCAGAACAUGCCUAGUUUGACUAUGAAAAGUUAUUUAAAAAGAAUUGGAAUCAUAAAAUAACAUAAAAAAGAUAAAAAGAUAUAUGACAUACCUGACUAAGUAAAAAAAAUCUUAAAUUGCCAUACUUGAGAAUAUUUCAAUUUUAACAAAGUGUUUUUAAGGAACCGAUUUUUUUUUUUGUGUGAAAAGAAAAAUAAUGUUGGAAUGCAGGAAGCAUGGAAUAUUUGAGAAGAUAAAAAGUUUAUGUGAAAUAUUAGAUGUGAGGAUACUUUGUCAUAUUUUUUAGUAAACAUGUUUAACAUGUAAUAAUUACUGUAUUUAAUUAUUACAUGUUCGAAAAUAAUAUAGGUGAGACCAUUAAUCAUUUAUUCUUUCUUGACUUGUGCCCUAACGACACAAGAUAACACUGUCCUUUACUUAUAAAAAGAAGAAAAAAAUUAAUUCACAAUUUCAUGAAAAUAAAAUAUACAUACGUAUAGUUUGAGCAUCAACUAUAAUAAAAAAAAAACUAACUUUAUUAAAUAAUUGAUAUACUUGAACACAUCAAUAUUAGAUAUUGAAAGCCUACAUAUUUGUGAUGAUGUGGCUUCAUUAAUCAAUCGAAGCGUAUGUCAGUAAAAACUUUAAGAUUAUUAAUCUUUAUUAAUCUUUAUCCAUCUUCAUCACAUUCUUCAACAUAUUCAUCCUCAUUUUCAUGUUUUUUAUUAUUCUUCAAAGUGUUUAUCAGAAUUUUUUUUAUUAGUUAUAUUUUGCAAAAUAAUAUGAAGUGUAUAAAAUAUUUUGGUGAAAAAGAGAAUACAUGUGGGACACGAUGGUUUAGCAUGUGUAUAACAUCUAGCAUUUGUCAGUUGACCAUUGUUAUUGUUAUGAGCAAAAAAUUUAGUUUUAUUUCAAUCAAAUUUGUUACUUUUUAGCAAUAUGUUAAUUAAAUUUAUUUGACAUAUUGAAUAAGAUCAAAUCUUAUUAUUUAGAUAUUUAAAUUUAAAUCAAAACAAAUCAAAUCUUUUUGUUGGAGUUUUUUGAAAAACAAAUCAAAAUAGAAUAGUCUACAAAUUUGAGCAUGAUCAAUUCUUAAGCUUAUUGAAGAAAACCCCAAAAGUUGCAUUGCUAUUUAAGGAGACUCAAACCUAACGUUUGAGGUGUGCGCAAGAGUUGAAGAUACUACUGUUAGAGUUUCUAUUUUGAGUCUUUUGUUUGAGUUAUUGUUUGUGCAUCAAUCUAGUGUAUUCAUUCAUAUCUAAAGGCAUAGAGUUUGGUCUGAUAGUUCAGUUAUAAUUCAAACAAUAAGUAUUCUGAUUAUUGUAUUGAUUACUAGGGUUAGUGAUUGAGAGAAAGUGGUAGUGGUCUCAUAUUUCAGGGGAGUCCUAAAUAGAAAUACACUGGUAGAAUUAAGAAGGGGGCAUUGAAGAAUGAUUGUUCAUCUAAGACACUUUGUACUAAUUUUAUUGAGAGUUGAUUUUCUUUCUUGGCUUGGAAGCCCCAGACAUAGGUGACGUUACAAUGAACUGGGUUAACAAUUAUCUUGUGUUCUUUACUUGCUUUAUAAUUUAUCAUUUUAUUUUAUAUUAGCUGUCAAACUUGGUAUAAGAUGUUGAACACAUUGACUUAGACACCUUGUCCAACAUUUGUCCCUGCAUUGAACAAAAUUUCAGUAAUACAAAUUAAGAAUUAAAUCUUUAGUAACGUAUGAUUAGUCCUUUUUUAUACUGUGCUUAAAGAUUUUGAUUUUAAUUCUCAAUUUUAUAAUUAAAUUUAAACUAUUUUUCAUUCAACUAAGUUAUCUAUAUAUGUUAAUGGUAAGAAUGUUGAUUUCUUCAAGUGUCAAAGAGGUCUGAGGCAGGGUGAACCUCUUUCAAUUUUUUGUUUUGUAUAGCUAAGUAAAUUCUUAAUAGAGACAUAACUCAUUUGACUAAUACAUGUAAGUUUUAUCCCUAAAAAAUAGUGCUAGAAAUAUGUUUUUUCCUCUUAUGUUAUGUAUGUAGGUGACUUUAUGAUAUUUUGCAAAUGUAUUUUGUCAGAUGUUAAAAACCUCAAGAAUUUUUUCUGAUAAAUAUGGUUUAGCAUCUCACCAAAUCACCAAUCUUGUCAAAUUCACUAUUUAUUUUGGUAGCAAGUCUAGCAAAAGACAUAAUAUAUUGUCAAUCUUCUUGCUUGGCAUAAAAUUUGUAAACAUAGUGAUGAGGGUUAGGUCUAAGAUCCACUAAAAAUAUUAACAAAGUUGUCAUCCUUUAUUUGAUUUGGAACUACCUCAAUUUUGAUUUAACAUUAAGUUAUUUUGUUGAGAACUUAUACCAAAAGAGGAAGUGGUCACAUUAACUAUCAUAUUGACUCCUCAAUUCAGUAUUAUAUUAAAUCUCAUUUACAUAUUAUUCAGGAUAACUCUCAAUGACAAAUUGGUAAUGGUGACAAAAUUAAUUUCUAGAUUGACUCGUGGAUUAAUGAACCUCUAGUGAACAUUCCUCAAAUUGAUCCUCAUAUUAGCUUGAAGCCCCAGGUUAAACAUUUAACUCUUGACAAUCAUUAGUGUAUCUCUCUUGAUAUAAAUCAAACUUUUCCUAAUUUGAAUAACUUGUGCAAUGUCCAUAUCCUUAAGUAUGAUAAUUAUGAUUAUUUGCUAUGACUCCUUCUAAGUUUGACACUCUCAUAUUCAAGGAAUCUUAUCUACACUUUGCUUCUCCUGGACAAAAAUUUCAAUGGGCUAAACAUAAAUGACAUCAACAUAUUCUUCUUUCAAAACCUCUUGUGCUUGGAAGUUUUUUUAGAAUGUGUUUGCAUACUGAUGAAAAUAUUAUGGCAAGAGGUUGUAACUUUCCUUAAAAAAUGUGAUUUAUAUGGUAUUAACUCUGAUGCUAGUUAUCAUAUUUUUAUUGAUUGCAAGUUUGCUAGACAGGUGUGUCAUUGGUUUGGUUCUAUUUUGCAAAUGCAAGUCAUUUAUGAUAUUAAUAACAUUAUUAAUGUAUGUAACUAUGGUUGGUAUUAACAAUGUAAAGAGGUUGUGCUUGUUGGCAUCAUUAAUAUUAUUGAUACCAUUUGGUAUUGUUGGAAUCAGACUCAUUUUAAUGAUAAGAGGAUCAAGUUCCAAACAAUCAUGAAUCAUAUUCGUGUUAGCGUUGAUAUCACCGACAAUGGCACUAGGGCAUCUGCUUUGAUUUAUAUACACGAAUUUUGAAUCCCAAAAAUCUUUUGUAUAAAGGUUCACCCUUCUAAAGCUCCAAUGAUCAAAUAAGUGUAUUGACACACUCUUAGGCAUAUUGAAGUAAUUUUAAUACUAAUGGUGUUGUUCUUGGUAGCCUAAGGGUGGUUGCGUAUGAUGGUAUAUUUUGUUGUAGCUCUCCAACCAGUCUUGGUUGUUUUGUUAAGCAUUUCAGUAUUACUUAUGCUUUUCAUGCAUAAAUUUUUAUGUGUGAUGACAACCAUUGAACUUUCUUAUACAAAAGAUUGAGAUUUGUUGUGGUUAGAGACUGAUUCUCUAAAGAUUACUCUUGCUUUAAAAAAUUCUUCCAUGAUUUCCCUAGGUAACUAAGAACUAUAUGGAUAAAUUGUGUUGAACUUACUAAGAAGAUGACUUUCAUUAUUUCUCACACUUAUCGUGAAUGAAAUCAAUUUGUUGAUGGUAUUGCUAAUAUUAGUUUGCAUAUUUAGGAUAACUAAUAAUGGGAUACUAUCUCUACUAGCAUUUUUCAUGUUUUUUUUUUCUUCCUUUUUGGAAAUAUAUAUGCUUUUCUUGAGUAUUUAUUUUGUUUUAGUCUUUUAUAGGAGUACCACACUCUUUUUCCCUUCACCUAUUUUUCCUUAAUGGUUUAUAGGUAAAAGUGUUUAAUGAGGUAGUUGGCUUAUUUUAUAUCAACUCCUACAUUAGUUUUGACCUAGUCCCUCAAAUCCUUUGUACAUUUCCCCCCUAAAUUUUAAAGAUAUUAGAAGGUAGCAUAUUUUUAAAGAUGAGUUAAAAGAGUGUCAACAUAGCGGGGAUGCCUUUGAUUCUAUUAAUUUCCAUAUUCUUUUGGUUUUUAAAAAUUCAAUAUUUAGUCAACAUUCAUUCACAUCAUCUUCAUUAAAAAAGGAUAUAAAAAAUCCACUAUUGCAUAUUUUAAAUAACACUUUUUAAUUUUUAUUGCAUAAGUGACAUGAUACAUGGAUUAAUGAAGCCACAUUACAUAUAGGUAAGCAACUUGUAACCAUGUUGUUUGUCUAAUCAUAAGAUAUUUUAUAGUUGGAUCAAACUUGCAAAUGAUGAAUAUAUAGAGAAUAUUUUUUGAACUAAGAUUGUUUUGAAGAACAAUACUUUAAACUAGUUUUGAUGAUAACAUAAUGUAAGAUAAUAAUUUUCUUGUCUAAUGCUUAUUAUUUGUGUAGAUCACUUAUAAUAAGAUUCUUUGUAAUCUAUAUCAGGAAAGAGUAAAAAGUAAUUUACAAAUGAUCCUCUAGUCUAAAUGAGUCUGAAACAUUCCAUUUAAUAAGUGAUUAUAAGCAUCUUAGUAUUUUAUUAUUGAAUAGUGACUCACUUUGAUACAUGCUGGUAUAAAUUAUCAAUACUAUCACCCAAAGAUAAGUACUCAAACUCUAUUAGGUUCUAAAACCAACUCCAAGAUUUGAUGAGAGCAUAUUUGAUCUUUUGGUAGAUGAUCAAGUUGUUACCCUUCUUAAGUUUAUUCCUCUAGUAACCAUUAGCAAGGCAUAUGCUCAAAAAGAAUAACUUAUUUGUUUCUCUUUCAAACAUUCAAAUUGAAAAACAACUAAGAAAUAUUACAUAAGGUACACCUUAAUAUGUGAUAAGACUUGAUACAUGUGUUAUGGACAUGAAAUAGCCUACUACAACUACAAGACUUCAAUGUCUUCUUUACUUGAAGAAUGUCAUCCAAUAGUCAUAUGAAAAGAAGUUAUGAAAAGUCUCAACUUCUCAUUAUUUAUUAUCUAUCUGGUUUAGAGUCUUUACGUAGAUGUGAACAGAUUUAGAUUUGACUAAUUUUUGGGAAUUUGUAAGAUGCUCAAAGUCAUGUAUAACAUCAAGGGGUUGGUGGUACCUAUAAACACCCUCCCACCCAAGCCAAUGAUUAUUGGAAGUGAAAUGUAUUUUUUGGUUAGAAAAAGUGUGUACCUGGAUUUGAUGUAUUUUAUUUCCUUUUAUAACCAUGUUAUAGGACUUUAGGGAACUAGAGCCUUCUUGUGAAAAUUAGUUGUCUAAAGGCACAUUUUCAAAAUACUACUUAUUAUGUCAUAUGACGGUCAUCCUUGAAUAAUUUUUCCUUAUCAGGCAUUUCACCAAGGUAGAUGUAUGCUUGUUAUUAAGAUCCUAAAACCUUAUUUAGGGCCAUAGCUGCAGAAAUGAUGCCUUUAUUCUGACAUCAUGAGUUUGACAUCACAUCAACAAUAUUGUUAUUGAUCAAAUAAUUAUUCGUCAUUGUAAAGCGAUAAGGGAGAUGAAGUUGGAUGUUAUCCAUCAUGGACCAUCGCCUAUGUUAGGUUGUUCGAUACACCCGCCAACCCAAGAGAGAACUAUUACCCCCAAAGUUUGGUCCGACAUAGUCAGGGUAUGGCUUUCAAUCUAGGAUGUCCUUCUCGACAACCACUCAGUAUUCAUACUCAUAGGUUUUUGGUAGAUAUCAUAAUAUAUCUUGUCGAUCUUGAUCUUUGGUAUUUUUUCUUUUCUAUGUUAUUGCUUGAUGGGACCCUUAUGGUAUUCUUUCCUUUAUUCUCUACAUAUAUUCUUUGUAAUGCAUGGUAUUGUUUCAAGCUAUCAUGACAAGCUCUCCCCAGCCAUCGCGCCUGUCAUGCCAAUACCAGCAGCACCCGUCAGUAAAACCGUCAGGAAGAAUGUGGGAGGAAGGCUUGAGAAGGGCGAUGGUUGGUCUGUCAACUGCAAGACGAUCAUCAUGGUCACAUAUGCAAUGCAACCUAACGCCCAUCAUGACGCUGUAACUUAGAAUUUUCGCGCACGACUCAACAGGCAAUUUCUCAUCUCCACCACUCUCUCCACUUUUUUAGCAUGUUUUUGAUAACAUCCAGUUUGAAUUUCAGCCUAUAAAUAGGCCCUUAGAAAUCAUUUUUAGAGAUCUAAGCUUUGUCAUAGUCAGAAAUUCACUUGUAAAAGCAUUUACAUCUUGCAUUAUGGUAUUCUUACAACCAUAGUUUUAGGUUCUUGGAGUAUUUUUUUCCUGAAAAAUUGUUGUUGUUGUUGUCUUUUAUUAUUGUGGUUGCUGAAUUUAUUGUUGGUGUUAACUAUGUUGUUGUUGCUUUUAAAUCUAAACCAGAAUUAAAGUAUCUGAUCAAAGCAUUUUAUGUUAUUCAAGUAUUGUUUACUAUUUCAGGUUUCAAUUUCUUCUAUUUCACUUUACUGUUUUUUGCCUUAUUUAAUUUCAUGUAUCAUGUUUACUGCCGUUAAUAAAACAUGUUUUGUUUUUACCGCUUUAAACAUGAGUGAGUAAUUUCAUCGAGUCUGAAAUGUGAGAUCCAUCGUACUGAUAAUAUUAAUAUAAAUUGCAUGUACGUAUUAAUAACAAGAGUAAUUUUCUGGGUUUGAAAAAUUCUGAUUUUAAAACCGCAAUUUGCUACGAAGGUAGAAAUACUACGAUAUUGGUUUCGACACGAGAGAGCAAAAACGGUAUCUGACUGUAGAAAAUUCAGAAAUUAACUUAUAAACAUAGUUAAAGCAUUUUAAAAGUUAAUUAAGAAACUAUAAUUUUCAAAAAGUGAUUUUAGACUUAUAAAUUAUACCAUGCGAAAGAGGGCGCUUGCAAGUCUAAAAUCCGAUAACGGACGCGCAAAAGGGUAUUCAACAUCUUUUAUACUAAAAUUGACAAAGUUGUGCACUUUCAUCCGCAUCUAGUUUUUGGCGUCGUUACCGGAGACCAAUAUCGUCAAUAUCGUACUCUAUUGUUACACUGUCUAGACUAAGCCAUUUUUAUGCUUUUAUUUUACUUUUUAUCUUGUCAAUUAUAUGCAAAAUCCUCCGUGGAAUUAGUCUAACUGAUAAACGAAAUCGAGCGUUGGUUACAUAUCAGAUGUCAAUUAGAAAAAAUUUAUGCUCAAAUGGCUGAGAAUAACAAUGACUGGCCUCUUGAGGACUUUGUCGUCCCAUAUCAGGACGAACCACACUUAAGUAUUGUUCAUCAUGUAAUCCAGGAUAACAACUUUGAGUUGAAAACCUAUUUGUUGCGGAUCGUGAAACAUAAUAAAUUCUUCAGUAGCCCGACAAAGGACUCAAACUUGCAUUUAUCUGUGUUUGUACAAUUUGCUGACACACUGAAAAGUAAUGACGUCGACUCUGAAGCCAUUCGAUUACAUAUAUUUCCUUUCUCCUUUAGGGAGAGAGAGCCCAAUCUUGGUUACAGUCUCUACUGUCAAAAUUUCAUUAUGACAUGGAAUGAGCUAAAGAAAGCGUUCCUUGUUAGGUACUUCUUGCCUAGCAAAACUGCUCAGUUAAGGAACCAAAUUAUCUGCUUUAGGAAGAUGGAUGGUGAGUCGCUUUUUGAUGCAUGGGAGCGAUAUAAGGAGAUAAUGAGAGCCUGCCCAUACCACGAGCUAAAUUUUUUAUUGAUUAUUCAUACAUUCUAUAAUGGUUUUCUCUAUAAUACGAGAAUGACCAUCGAAGCCUCCGCGGGCGGAACUCUGAUGAAUAAACCCUUCGUUGAUGCCUACAUUAUAAUCGAGAGUAUGGCUUAAAACCACUUCCAAUGGGGAAGCAUGAAGGUGAUAAAAACACAAGAAAGGGGGUUAAUUUGUGUUGGCUUUUUCUUCUUCUACUUCUGAUGAAUCUCAAUAAGAUUCUGAACACUUGGUUCAGAGUCUGACUCAUAAAACUUAGUUUACUUCUGAAAGUCCUGAUCAUAUUCUGAACUAGAACCUGACUUAGAGUAUCAGAGUUAACAACAACGAAAUAUUAAGAUCAGAAGUCCGGAACGUAAAAUCAAAGACACAACAAUUAUCUUGGUUUCUCUCACAACUUGAGAGUAAUCCAUUCCCCUUGCACUUCCAAGGGAUUUUCACUAUAACCAAACUAAUUACAAAUGCUCAAGCACCAAACAAGAGACUUCUAAUGCUCAAACCUUCAAGUAAGACUUCUAUGCUCAAGCAUACAAGCAAGAGACUUUAAUGCUCAAACCCUAAAGUAAGAGACUUCUAUGCUCAAACACACAAGCAAGAGACUUCAAAUUCUCAAGCACUAAAGCAAGACACUUUUGGCUCUAUAACAAACUGUUAAAUGAUUUGAGUAACAACUACACUUGAUAUACAAUUAGAGGUGUAAACAUAAUAUAACUCAAAAGACUCUAAGACUUAAGAAAUUCUAAAAAGGUACAAAGUUUUAAGAGGUUCUAAGUCUAGCAAAUUUGACAGAGUAACUUCUCUUUGAAAUAUCAAGGUUCAGAGUCUUGUAAUGCAGUGUAUUUUUCUUCUUCUCCAGGUCUUCCGCUCCUUAUAUAGAGAGGAAGAAAAGAGACAUUAAAGACUUUCACCAAAAGGUUGGAUAUGCUUUACACUUUAUUGGACACAUCAAGAAAGCACCUUUCUGCAAGAGGAAUUACCUGUUAAAGCUCAUACAACAAAGAAAAUAUUUUUCCUUAACUCUUCACGUGAUCAAAAGGUCUUUGAGUCUGUCCAAGUUUCCUCAAUUGAAGAGAAUAUGCUUUAGAGGUUGACUUUCUUCAGACUUCACUCUUUAGAGGUUGAUCUCUUUAGAGUCCAAUCCUUCGCUUUUGAAGCUUCAAAGUCUGGAUCACCAGAUACUGAUUUUCUUCAGAGUCUGGACCUUCCAUCAGAGCUAGAGUCUUCCAGCUUCUCUUCAUCUGCUCUCACUCUUAUAAUCAUGCAUACUUGAAGAGAUGUUAGAAUACCCAAUUGUUCUUUAAAUACUUUGUUAUCAUCAAAACCCAAGGGAUAUGGUAUCAACCAAUUUUUUUUCUAACAAUCUCCCCCUUUUGGUUGAUGACAAACAAAAGUAUUUAAGAACAAUGAUUGUUAAUUUAGUUAACAUGUUGGCUUCAGGGUCUGAGGUUUGUAAGCUCUCCUUGAGUUUGAUAGUCCAGGGGGUAAGGUUUGUAAGCUCCCCCUAAGUUCUAUCCAGGUUAAUUAAAUCCUUUUAAAGGGCACAAUAUCAUUAAUCUUUAAAAUAUAAGUAGCAGUAAGAAUAAUCAUUAGAUUCAGGUGCUUAAAUACUCUUUAUCUCUCCCUCUUUUAUCAUCAACAAAAGAAAUAUGAAAAAGGACAUGGAAGAUACUGUCACGUCGCAAAAAAUACUUGAGCGUAUCACACGCUCAUAGAUACAACAAAGUCACCACCUAACUUUAUUUUUUUUUAAAAUGAAAGGGAAAAUAUCGAUAAAACUCAGGGGUAGAGAAACAAGAUAAGGAAUUCAGUUAUGCAAGGGGAAGGUAUUAGCAUCCCUCACAUCCACUGUACUCAACGAGGACCAAUUUGAUUGUUCUUUGCGCGAAUGAGUCUUACUAUUGUCAUACCCCAAAAUUUACCCUUCCCUUUUUCCUUUUGAAUAAUUCAUUUGCAUACAUCAAAUCAUAUGAUGCAUGACCAUUGUAUUUGGUCAUGGGAUCACAAGCAUGGCCACUUUGUAGUUUAUAUCUUAACAUAAUUUCAACAAGAGAUGGUACUUGGUUGUUCUUGUUACUCAUGUAGGUGAUCAUGCUCCAAAUCAAGGUAAGACAAAGGUAUUUUGGUCAAAGGAAAUGUAAGUUUGCUUCAUGUGAUUCCAAGUUGGUUCAUGUAUUUGUUUCCAUGCCACAUCACUCAAUCUCCAAGAUAUAUUCAAAAAAACUCAAGCCCUAAUCAAUUUUUCAUCAAGGGAUGCUUAUUCUUUCAUCAUUGUGGCUUACAAUGCAAGAAAACAUCAAGUUUUCAAAAAUGGGUACAAGUUGGUUUGACCUAAUUUGCAAGUAUGUCAUGCCUUUGAUCCAAACUCCAUAACUUUUUCAACUUUUAUCCAAAUGCCAAUUUUCUUUGAGAAAAAUGUGAAUUUUGAGAUCCUCUACAACUUUGAUUCAAGUGUCAAAAAUCAAUUCAUUUAUUAAAGACCUCAUUUGUGCAAAGGACCAAGUUGCCAAAAUGGGCCAAAACCUUGCCAUGACCACUACUUUCCACCCUUGCCAUUUUCAGCUUAAACAUUCUUUUGAUCCCAUUCCUUUUGCAUAUUGUUAAGAUUAUUACAAAGAUAAUUUGGCCCAAAUUUGACUCAAAAUUAACAAGGGAAUAAAAAGUUAUGGCGUCAUCAACUUGGGACCUCAAAAUGACCCUACAUGCCUCAAACUGUUUGACCAAUGACCCAGCCUAAAACUCAGGUCACGACCUCAACUUCCCAAGCAUUUAACUUUCACCUAAAAGAUAAUUUGGACUUGGUUCUUUUUGCAUCAUGUUCUACUCCAUGAAGAGAUCAUUUGGAUCAAAUAAAAUUGGAAAACGCACGAGUGCAUUGGAAUUGGCCUAAGCAUGAACAUGACAAUAUGAACCCUGUUUUGACACAAACCAAAAAGUUAAAAUUACAAGUUAUUCUUUGUUUUGGGACCAUUUUCACAAGUGCAAACAUUUCGUGAUGUCAAAACAUGUGCAAACAAGCUAGAAAAGACUUCAUUUCACCAGCAAAUCACACUUUUCAUGUUGCAUUUCACACGGAUUGCAAAACUUGAAACCUCAACCCUAAUUCACACGAGUUUGCCUCUAAUUCACACAUAUUUGAAUCCCAACACAUUCUCUAUAAAUAGUGGAUUGAUUUGACUUUAUUUCCAAGCUUCAAGAGCCAAGAAGUAUCUGCAUCACUGAAACCCAAAAGCACCAAAAAACCAGUCACUCCUUUCUUUGAUUCAAGUCGUUUUGCUUCUAAAUUUUUGCCCAAAAUCCUUCAUCAACAUCAUCUGAAGCUGUAUGAAGCAUUUCCUUGGUCUGAAACUACUUGCAACCUUGAUUCCUGUUUCACAAUUGUUGACUUCGAGCUUCGAUUUGGACAAGGUAGUUACGCGUAAAAUUAUACUUCAAGCAAGUUACCAUUCUCUUCGUGUGGUUCCACUAAUUGAAAGUCCUAAUCUACUUUUGAUUUGGUCAUUCAAUUUAACUUUUAAGAACUAGGGUUCUUCACAAGUUUGAGCAAAUUCUCUCUGCUAAGAGAAAACCAAUUGCUCUAAUGCAAAGGGAUAUGAAUGAUGAGUGAAGUAGAAGCUUGCACGAUGCAUGUUUUAGCUUAAAACUUCGAGUUCAUGAAUAUGCAAAAAUUAAAUUUAGGAGGUUGAAGAUGAAGUC